CCUAAAUUUGUAGCCUUCGAUCUUCAUAGAUAGGUCCUUUGUUAUUGCUUGAACAUGGCUUAUGUAAGUUCUUCGAACUUAUUUCCUGCAAAGUAGGUUGCACCACAUGGUCAGUUUUAGUAGAAUGAUUUAUACAACCACCUUAAAUUUUUGAUGUGUUACUCAUAUUACGAGCUUGAAGGAUGAUUGUUUCGUCUCCCACACGAAGUGUGAGUUCACCUGUGCUAACGUCAAUUAUUGUUCUAGCGGUUACUAAAAAGGGUCUUCCUAAAAUUAAAGGAACGUUACUAUCCUCCUCUAUGUCUAGAACAACGAAAUCAUCUGGGAAUAUAAAUUUGUCAAUUUUAACAAGUACAUCUUCGAUAAUCCCCCUAGGAAAUCUGAUUGUUUUAUCUGCUAAUUGAAUACUCAUCCUAGUUUGUUUGGGUUUCCCAAAACCUAGUUGUUUAAACAUUUUGUAAGGUAUGACAUUGAUACUAGCCCCUAAAUCAGCCAAGGCAUUAUUAACAUCUAGGCUACCAAUUAAACAGGGAAUCGUAAAACUCCCUAGAUCUUUUAAUUUGUUGGCCAGCUUAUUCUAUAGUAUGGUUGAGCAAACCGCAUUUAGCUCCACAUGCGAUGCCUCAUCCAACUUCCGUUUAUUUGUGAAAAGCUCAUUUAAGAAUUUGACUGCGUUUGGCAUCUGCGAAAGAGCUUCAAUAAACGGUAAGUUAAUAUGUAAUUUCUUUAAUAAUUUAAGGAAUUUACUGAAUUGUUCGUCUGUGCGGUCUUUCCUUAUUGCGUUGGGGUAUGGCACACGAGGUUUGUACUCUUUACUUACCGAUUUCUGCUCAUUGUGGUCCACCUCACCUUUACCUUUACUUACCACAGUUUUUUGCCUCGGUUCUGGUUCAGGUGUAACUAACCCGUCUUCAUCUUGAAUGAUAAUUGCAUUGAGUUGCUCCCUUGGAUUAGAUUCAAUGUUACUCGACAAGCUACUUUGUGGUCGUUCAGAUAUCAAUUCAGCGAGCUGACCUAUCUGAGUUUCGAGCCCUUGGAUCGACGCUUAGUGAUUUUUAAGUGUUGUCUCGGUAUUUUAGAAAUGAGUUUUUGACACUGAGAUGAAUUUUGUUAGCAUCUUCUCAAGGUUCAGCUUUUUCUCUUACUGGUAAGGUUGUUGUUGGAAGCCUGGAAGUGGUAGUGGUCUCUGAUUCCCUUGGCUUCCCCAUGAGAAAUUUGGGUGGUUCCUCCAUCCUGCAUUGUAAGUAUUACUAUAAGGAUUAUUUUGAGAUCGAGGAUUAUUACCCAUGUAAUUUAGCUGCUUGUUCUCCAUCUUGUGGCCAUAAGGUGGGUAUUCUGAAUUGCUGGAUCCACCUCCAUUUGCUUCGCAUUGCAGUACUGGGUGAACCUGUGAAGAACCAAGAAAACUGUCAAUUUUUCUAUUCAAAAGAUCUACCUGAUUAGAGAGCAUGGUGAUCGAAUCGAUGUUAAAAAUGCCGAUUGUUUUCGUUGGUUUUCUCCUCAUGACUUGCCACUGAUAAUUAUUCAGUGACAUCUCUUCUAUAAAUUCAUAAGCAUCCUCAAGUGUCUUAUUAUUGAUAGUUCCACCAGCGGCUGCAUCAAUCAUCUGUCGAGUCAAAGGAUUCGGGCCAUUGUGAAACGUUUGAACCUGUAGCCAGAGUGGUAGUAAGGGCACCUUCGCAAAAUGUCCUUGUAUCUCUCCCAUGCAUCAUAAAGUGUUUCUAAAUCCAUCUGCACAAAAGAGGAGAUAUCAUUACGUAAUUUGGCUGUUUUAGCCGGCAAAAAAUAUUUUAAUAAAAAAAUUUCGGUCAUUUGUUCCCAAGUAUUGAUUGACCCUCAUGGUAAAGAGUUCAACUACUGUUUAGCCAUAUUCCUCAACGAAAAGGGAAACAACCAAAGGCGAAUGGCAUCAUGAGAAAUGCCGUUGAUUUUAAAAGCGUCACAAAACUCUAAGAAAUUCGCCAAAGAAGAGUUUAGGUCCUCGUCCUGCAAACCAUCAAACUGAACAAACUGUUAGAUCAUUUGAAUGGUGUUAGGUUUCAGUUCAAAAUUAUUUGCAACAGCAAGCCUAACUAUGCACGAUUCAAUUCCUGUUAAAGAAGGUUUAGCACAAUCAUAUAUAGUACGUGGAGUAGGAUUCUGAUUAGCAGCAAUCACAAGAGGUAGCAGAUUUUCUUGGUUUUCAGCCAUCUCCUCGGUUGUUGAUAAACCGUAAUUUAUACAUAUUUUUACCCCAUGUUAAAUGCAUUUUAUGGAUGAUUUCCCAUUAGAAUUGGUGAAUUUGAUGCUCUUAAUGCUUUAAUUUCAUGUUUUAUACUUAGGAGAUCAUAGGAGAGGGAAAGGAACGAGAAACGGGCCAAAAUCGGAGAAAAUGGGCCAAAGUACGAAAUCAACACGACUUGGACCUCCUCACACGGGCAGACCACACGGCCGUGUCAAUCUGGCAGGCUUGAGCACGGCCUGAAUUAAUCGCACACGGGCGUGUUACACGGACAUGUCCCUGCCGAGCCCAAGUUGAGUCCAAUUUGGAAAAGGCUAAUUUUGAGGGCUCUUAGGCAUUCCAAAGCCUAUAAAUACACCCUAGAGGAGGAAGAAAAAGAGGGGCACAGAAUAGGGAGUAAGGAAUUACUCCAAGAAAGCCAAUUGAUCCAUCUCAGAAGCCGGAUUCAACAUUAAGACUGAAGAUCUCUCCUAAAUUUCCCCUUCAGGAGUUUUUGGUUUUCUUUAUGUUUUGUAUGCUUUAUUAUUCUGAGAUGUUUUCUUAUUUAGUUAUGAACUAAAGCCCUUUAAUACCUAAGGGGAAUGAAACCUAAGACGAAUCUUGUUAUUAUUUUCUGAAUUGUAUGAUAAAUAUUUAACUUGUUCUUAAUUAUAUGUUCUUAAUUCUUGUUUUGAUAUCUCAGGAUACUAAUUCAAGAUAAGAUCUUAUUCAGAGGAGGAAUAGACCCUAUCUAAGAGUACAUUUGUCAUAAUUAAGCAGAGUUGAUUGCGCGCCUAGAUAUAGGGUGACAAGAUUUUGCAGGAUUAGGGUGAAACCUAAUAAGGGGAUCCAUAAAUCGAGUUAAUGCAACCCUAAGGUGUUAAUUAGAGAAAGGUCUCAAUUAUUCAAUCUAGGGAUUAGACAUUAUUAGUCUUGAAUAGGGAUAAUAACAUAACUUAGGGAUCUCUACGGAACAAGUUAAAUGAAUAAAUCAUCUGGUUCGGAGCCAGAAUAACAAGUACAGUCUAGGUGGAUUUUUCCUUAGGUAUUGUCUUAAUUCAAUCGAUUCCAAAAGCAAUUACCUAAUUCCAUUCUCUGUGAAUUCUUAGUUUAGAUAAUUGGUUAGUUAAAACAAAAACCUCUCUAUUCUUGGGCUAGAUAAUAAAUAGACAGUCAUUACUAGUACUUUUAGUUCCCUUAGGCUUGACAAUCCGGUCUUGCUAAAACUAUACUACUAUUCGAUAGGUACACUUGCCUACAUCGCGAUAAUAGUUAGUUUCAAGAGAGAUUAAUUAUAAAUAUUUAAAACCUAUCACGAAAUCACGCGAUCAAGUUUUUGGCGCCGUUGCCGGGGAAACUAAAAUAUUAGGAACACUCAAUUUUUAUUACUUUAUCCAUUUAUUUUUCUUGCAAUCUAAUUUUAUUCUAAUUUACUAAUUUUCUUUUUCUUUCUUCUGGCAAGUUUUUAUAUUUUAUGACUAGAAGAAACCCGUCAGGACCACUACUUUUUAACGAAAAAAUCGAUCACACUGUUCGCAGAAACCAAAGAGAAAUAAGGCGAAGCCUAAGAUACACAGAGAAUAACCAAGAAGACGAUACUCAACCCCCGACCGAAGAGAUGGCUGAAAACCAACACAAUCAGCUACCUCCUGCAAUUGCGGCUACUCAAAAUCCUGCUCCACGCACUAUUUAUGAUUAUGCUAAACCUUCUUUAACAGGAAUUGAAUGGAGCAUAGUUAGACCUACUAUAGCUGCAAAUACUUUUGAACUAAAACCUAACACUAUUCAAAUGAUACAGCAAUUUUUUCAGUUUGAUGGUUUGCAGGAUGAGGAUCCCAACGCUCAUUUAGCCAACUUCUUAGAACUAUGUGAUGCAUUUAAAAUUAAUAGUGUUUCUGAUGAUGCCAUUCAUAUUCAGUUAUUCCCUUUUUCGUUGAGGAACAAAGCUAAACAGUGGUUGAACUCAUUACCACGAGGGUCAAUCACUACUUGGGAACAGCAGGCAUUUAUAAUGUCGAUUCGAUUACUAUGCUAUCAAACUAGGUAGAACUUUUAAAUAAAAAGAUUGACGGUUUUUUUAGUUCUUCAUAGGUUCACCCAGGAAUGCAGUGCGAAGCAAGUGGAGGUGGAACAAGCCAUUCGGAGUACCAACUUUAUGGCCACAACAUCGAUAACGAGCAAUUAAAUUACUUGGGUAACAAUCCUCGACCUCAAAACAAUCCAUAUAGUAACACUUACAAUGCAGGUUGGAUGAACCACCCCAAUUUCUCGUGGGGCAGUCAAGGAAAUCAAAGACCACAACCACCUCCAGGCUACGAACAACCACCCUACCAACAGGAAAAGAAACCGAACCUUGAAGAGAUGCUCACAAAGUUUAUCUCGGUGUCAGAAACCCGUUUCUAGAACACUGAGAUAGCACUUAAAAAUCAACAAGCGUCGAUCUAAGGGCUCGAAACUCAGAUAGGCCAGCUUUCCAAACUAAUCUCUGAACGACCACAAGAGAGCUUUCCAAGUAAUAUUGAACAUAACCCAAGGGAACAACUCAACACGAUUAAUGUUCAAGAUGAAGAAGGAUUUGUUGAGCCUGAGCCAGAACCGAGGCAAGAAACUGUGGUAAGCAAAGGUCAAUAAAAACAAUUUGGUAAAUUCCUUAAACUCUUAAAAAAAUUACAUAUUAACUUACCGUUUAUUUAAGCUCUAUCACAGAUGCCAAACGCAAUGAAAUUUUUCAAGGAGCUUUUAGCAAAUAAGUGGAAGAUGGACGAGGCAUCGUAUGUGGAGCUAAACGCAGUUUGCUCAGCUAUUCUGCAGAAUAAGCUACCCAACAAACUUAAAGAUCCAGGGAGUUUUACAAUUCCUUGCUUAAUUGGUAGUUUAGAUGUUAAUAAUGCAUUAGCUGAUUUGGGGGCUAGUAUUAACGUCGUGCCUUACAAAAUGUUUAAACAAUUAGGUCUUGGAAAACCCAAAUAGACUAGGAUGAGCAUUCAAUUAGCAGAUAAAACUAUAAGAUUUCCUAGGGGUAUUAUUGAAGAUGUGCUAGUUAAAAUCGAUAAAUUUAUAUUUCCCGUUGACUUCAUUGUUCUAGACAUAGAGAAGGAUAGCAACACUCCGUUAAUUCUAGGAAGGCCCUUUUUAGCAACUGCUAAAAAAAUUAUUGAUGUUGGCACAAGUGAACUCAUACUCCGUGUGGGAGACGAAACAAUCACCCUUCAAGCUUGCAAUUCUGGCAACACAAUGGAAAUUGAAGGUGAUCGUCUAAACCUUUCUACUAAAACUAACAAUAUGGUGCAACCUACUUUUCAGGAAAUGAAUCUGAAGGAAGCACAUGAGUCAUUCUCAAGCAAUAGUAAAUGACCCAAUCAUGAAGAUCGAAAGCUACAAAUCAAUGAGCUAGAUGAAUGGGGACGCAUGAACUGAGAACAACUGACAAACCGAAUCUACGACAGAACAAGCUCAAUCCCUUUCCAAAUCAACCUAAGGUUGGAGAUAGAGUCUUAUAGAUGCCACAGAUCCCCACAUUGUCGCGACCACAUUGAAUGAAGAAAUCCCUCUUACGGUACUCACCAUUUCCCCAUUCAGUACGGUCGAGGUGAGUCAUCCCAAGUUCGGCAGGUUUAAGGUAAACAACACCCGUUUAAAACCUUAUUUUGAUGAGAUUAAUAGUAGAAAUGAAGAGUAUAAACUCCUCAAACCACCAUGAUCAUUCAACGGAGAGCUAAGUCGAGCUUAGACUAUAAAUAAGCGCUUCUCGGGAGGGAAACCGAGCACUAACUGUAUUAACUUCUUUAAAAUUUAGUUUUCAACAUCUAACUUACUAACGGAGCGCUUGAAUACAGGUUUUCCACAGGGACUCGACCAAGAGCACAGGCGUGCUUAGGGACGUGUGAAAACAGGACAAUAAUUUUUCCAAACACGGGCUACGAUAAAAUGCCACGACCGUGUGACAUGGCCGUGGUCGAACUUGUCAAAACAAUACGGGGUAAGACACGCCCGUGUGGAAGAACCGUGGCUGAACCUGUUAAAAAAGCACGGGCGUGUGACACACCCGUGCCUAGCACCUGUGUGCAAACCUGUUAGAUUGACACAGGUGUGGGUCUGAAUACAUGGGCAUGGAAGAAGCAAACAACGUCAGACACGGCCGUGUGAUACGGUCGUGUGCACCCACACGCCCAAGGAACACGGGCGUGUAAUAAAUGUCAGACGCACCCAAAUUCAAAAUUCGCGAAUGACACGAGCUGAAUUUAAGGAACACGGGUGUGUUACCUGGCCGUGUGCCCAAAAAUCUAUAAAUACCCUGCACUAUUCAUUGUCUUCCCCACUCAAAAACCUUAACCCUAACUGCUGCAAUUCCACACGGCCUCCUUGCCACGCUCGUGCUCCGCCUCCAACUCUAUUUUUUACUCCCAAUUUCUCUUCUUUAGCAUUUGUUUACUCUUUUCACCUCUAUUUUACUUACUUUUAAUGUUUAUUUUUAAAAUAAUCUUUAUUUUUCUCUUCCUAUUUCCAUUUUGUUCAUUAUUACUAUUUCCAUUUUAUUCAUUAUUUCUGCAUUAUUAGACUAUUUAUCAUACAUUUUAUGUUAAAUCGAGUUGUUAAAUCCUCACUAUUUUGUCAUACACAUGCCAUUACUAUGCCCAUUCUCAUGCCAUUACAAUGAUAAUGUCACGAAAUUAUCCUGGUUAUGUUUGGUUAAUAUUAAUAGUUGUGGCUGAAAUUUUGAUUUUUUUUUAAAUUUGUCUUCAUUUUACGUUGAUCAUCCCUCAAGAUGAAAUAAUGGCUUUGAUUGCAGGUAUCAUGUCGUCUUCAUGAGGAAAGAAAAUCGUCGUACUUACUUCGAAGAAGAGGAAAAGAGCGUCACCUUCUGUAGAUCCAACCACGAAAAUUCAUCACCCUCUCCUGCAAUUUCCCUGAGGGCCCUAAGAAAAACUUUUUCAAAUACUUCGAGCCCGACCUUUAAUUACAGGCCGCUGCAUCGACUGGGCUGCCGUAUAACAAGUUCAGUUGGCGGAUACGAUACGAGCCCUCCUAACCACCGACCCUUAGGAGCUAUUCUUUGGGAUCAUCGAACCAACAUACCUCGAGCUCAUGAUGGAACUAUGCUCAACGUUCCAUCUUCAGACUGUAAUGACGAAUUACGAUGAUCCUGGCACGGUCUAGUUUCGCCUAGGUGGGUUAGUAUUCCAGCUAAGCGUCCCAGAGUUCGGUGCUGCACUGGGCUUAUAUCCGGAGAAGUUCAAGGAGGAGGAUGAACUACAUGCUCUGACUCGCCACAUACAUUUCUCUCCCUCGAAGUGUUGGCACACUUUGGCCCCUGGCGCAGCUUCCUACAAUCCUAGCCGCUCCAAGGUAUCAGUUCUCCCACCAUCCGUGAGGUACCUCAGGCCAUUUUGGCUCACACAAUUACAGGGAGGCGAGAGAGCACUGGCGUCAUCAACACUGGCGUCGUCAACACUAACGACGCCUACUUCUUAUGGUGUAUGUCACACGAGCACGUCAUCAACCUUUCCUAUUUCAUCGCCCUCGCCAUUCAGCACUAUACUUGAGCUUGGCAGGGACACACCAGUGUGCGAUUACUUCAGCCCAUGGUUAUGGCUGUUGAACAGGCACAGGCGUGUAGUCUACCCGUGUGGAUUACCUGUGUGAGGAAGUCCAGGCCGUGUUGAUUUCCUAUGUGGGUCUAUUUUCUCUGUUUUCAGUUCAUUUCUUGCUCUUUUCACUCUCUUAUGCUCACCUAAGUGUAAAACAUAAAAUUAAAGAAUUAGAAGCAUCGAAUUCACCAAAUCUAAGGAAAAAUCAUCCAUAAAUGUGUUAAACAUGGGAUAAAAAUAUGUAUAAAUUACGGUUUAUCACAUACCUAUGUCUUCGUGAGAUCUUCAUCUCCGUAUAGCCAUAGGGAAAUUUAUUCCCUUGAACUAAACUCGGUCUGUAUGAGCCUAUAAUAGGUAAAGAUCGAGGAACCUAUCGAUUUAGGUACCCUUACUUUAGAACUGAACAGCAUAUAACGAGCCCUAAAAGCCUACCCUAGGUAGAACUAUACCAAACCUUAGUCACUCGAUUAGGUGUUUUAUUUAUUAUUUCUUGCUUUAAUAUCUAGAUUUGUAUAAAAAGUACUGACUUGUUUUAUUUUAUUUUGGAUUUGAUUGCAUUGCAUUUUCAUCAAAGAAAAGGGUGUUGAUUCACUUCAAUUGCUAAAUAGAGAGCUCGUCAUGAAAAAGGGAUUUCUUGAUAAAGUGGAAGACAAUGCGGUCAUCCGGAUAUGGUUUGAGAAGACAGAACAAGAGAAAGAUGAUAGCCUGGUGGAGGGAUAUGUGUCAGAAUUGUAGGAUUUCACUCGUAUCAGUGUGAUUUAGAAUAAUCUCCAAGAGUUGAAAGAGGUAUAGGACCAAUGGGAUGACGAAACCAUGGCUAUUUGCCCUAUUUGCCCUAUUUGCCCUAUUUACUCGAUGCCAAAGUGAAUAAGCACUUGUUUCGUGCUCUUUCUUAGUAUUGGAAUCUCGCUUAUAGUUGCUUUACUUUUCGAAAGGUAGAUUUGGUGCCUACCGUAGAGGAGUAUACAACUUUGCUUCGUUGCCCCAGGAUCCAAGUUGACAAAGCUUAUUCUAGAGCCGCCAACAUCCAGACUUUCCUAAAAAGCUAAUGAAUAUCACUAGGAUGAGUGAGCAAUAGGUCGCGGCCCAAAUUAUAUAAAAGGGAGAUAGUAAAUGCAUUCUUUGGAAAAGUUUGCGAGAUUUGAUCUUCGUACAUUUGGAUACGAAAAAAAGAGUUGAUGUCUUUGCCUUGAGUAUCUACGGGUUGGUCAUCUUCCCCAAAGCACUAGGACACAUAGAUGAUGCAAUUCUAGACCUAUUCGACCGGCUUGACAAAAGGGUCACGCCUUUCCCAGCAAUUUUGGCCGAAACUUUCAGAUCUUUAAGUGCAUGCCGGAGAGGAGGAAAAGGAAGAUUUAUUGGGUGUGCACAACUCUUGCUAGCCUGGUUUCACAGCCACUUUUGGAAGGUAAAAAAGGUAUCUUAUUGAGUAUUCUUCAAGAACUACUUUCUGCUGAAAGAAUUUGUGGCUACGCUAAGGCGAGACGACAUUCCAGAGAAAAAUUGGUGGCAAUUCUCUAGAAUCUCCAAGAUGAAGAUGUUGAAUGGAGGGCCUCGUAGAUGAUCCCUGAUGAGAUUUUGUACCGAUGUGGAGACUUCUAUUGGGUCCCUCUACUCGGGAUAUGAGGAGGUACGGGAUAAGCCCCUCUACUUAUACUGAGACAGUAUAGAUCGAGGGAGUUCAUACUAAAAAUGCAAGGGUUGGCUCAACACGAGUUUGCGUACAAAGGUGAUAAUUAAAAUACAAAGGUUCGUGAAAUAUCGAACACUUGGAACUAAACCCACUGAUUGAAAAAAUUUGUCGCAACUCCAAUGACGACCCCCAAGUGUGAUUGGUGGUGGGGUAAAAGUGUCAAUGAUAAUGUCCCUGUGUUAAGUCAAGAAAACACUCGGUUGAUAGAAGAUCAUUUACAAGUAAUCCUUUCUGACUAGGAAAUCAUAAAACAAGACUUUGAAAAGAGGAGUUCGGAACUGGAGAAAAAGAUAAAAUAGUUGGAAGAGGAAUAGAUGCAGCUUGAAUUAGAUGUUGACGUCCAAAAGUUAGAAGCCGAGAAAGUGAGAAAGGAAAGAACAAGGCUAAAGAAGACUUAGACAAUUUAAAAAUAGAUUAUAAGAAGUUGUGCUUGUCGAUUAAGACUACCGGGUUGGGUAAAAAGUCAGAAAAAUGGUGUCAAGAGAUCAAAGAAGAAAAGAUUAGAGAUAAUCAGUGGGAAAAGAAAUUUCAAGAGGCUCGAGUUCGAGAAGAUGCACUAGAAAGGGAUUUGUUAGAAAGCCAAAAUGAAAAGGUUGGAUUGAGAGCCAGGGUAGAAGAAUUGUAACACCCCCUAACCUUAAACCGUCGCUGAAACACGGUUACAGAGCAUUACCGGACCUAUCGGACAAUUUAUAUAAAAUACCUAUGUUCAACCCAUCUAAACACAUUUAAAUAUGCUCAAAACUUGCUAAAUUUAGACAUUUUAUAUAUCUUCCAAUACUCAAGUCCAAUCACUUAUCAUACAUUAUCAAUAUGAUUCAAAUUUAUACCAAUUAACCCAAAUCCUAUUAUAUACCAUUACCAAACCUAAUUCUAAAUAUUUCAUCAAUACAUUGAAAAUUCAAAAUACACACACAUAAAAUAUCCUAGGUACAUGCUAUUACCAACUAUUAACAUGCUUUACCUCAUUGAAUUCGGGAUCGGCCUGGGAUGCUGAUUCAACAAUCUAGCUUUAACGUAACCUGCGUAUGGAAACAGUCGUACAUUGAGUAUGAACUCAGUGGUAUUUCUAUAAUUCGAACAUUAAAUAGUAAAACAUACACUUAAUAUCAUUUAAUGAUCAUAAAUUUUCAUUUAUUCAUUUCAGGGAUAAAUUCUUUACAACUUAUUCAAUUUUUAUCAUCUAUUAACCCAAUUAGCUUUUCAAAUAAAUUCACAAUCAUUUAAAUAAUAAUAUUUUCCAUUCAUAUGUCUCACUUAUACUUCUGUUCACUAUUCAAUAUCAGUAAAUAAUUUUCAGUAUCGAUCAAUUUUUCAGUUUCAUUCAGUAACAUUCAAUCAUUCAAUAACAAUUAGUUGUUCAAUAAUAUUCAGUCACUCUUUAACAGCCAGUUAUUCAGUAACGAUAAAUUAUUCAGUAAUAAUAAAUUAUUCAGUAACAAUCUUUUACGCAGUAGCAGUCAGUUAUCCAGUAACAGUCAGUUAUUCAAUAGCAGUCAAUUAUUCAGUACCUUUAUUUACCCCUAUUAACAUGACUUGGACUCGGACUCGGACGGAUACACGGAUCCAACCCACACACCGGGAUAGCAUACAAUGUUUCAUCAGCCAGAGCCGGAAUACACCAUAACAGUAAUAGUAACAGUAACAGUGGCGGUACAUAGAGUACUUCAUUGGAACAAAUCCCUAACAGUAAGGUACAGAGUACCUCUUCGGAACGAAUCCGGAACAGUAACAGUAAGGCGAUACUUAUAGCGUCUCAUCGACACAAAGUCGGAAUAUCCCUGAACACUUCCAAUCCUAUAGCAUGCCAACUAUAUCUGACUUAGCCCGAUACUGUUAAUAGGAUUUCUAAUUCAUUUUCUAGUUUCCAAUCAUUACACAUUUCAACAAUCAAAUAUAUUCAUAAUUCGACAUAAUUCAUUUCACUUUUCAAUAGCAAAUAUUCAAUUUUCACAAUAAUCACAUAUAUUCGUAUAAAUUCAAUAAAUUUAACACAUACCUAAUCAAUCCAUUUCAAUUAUAAAACACAAUAUUUCUCAUCUCAAUUACUAUCAUAAUAUUCAAUCAAAAUUCAACAAUUAAUAAAUAAUUUCACUUUUCAAUUCUAACCGAUAUCUAUUCUAAUUCAAAUAUUCAUCUCAAAGCACUUUCUAUACAUGUUAAGUAACAAAUUCAAUAAUUAAAUAUUAAAUUCGGAUUAUAGAAAUACAAACCGUAAUUUUCGGGCUAACCCUUGUCGACUUUUCCUUUUCCUUGCUUAGCCGAGAUUUUUGGCACAAUGUUAGCUACGAAAAUUAAAACAAUUAAAAAUUCAUCAAUAUACAAUUUCAUUUUAUUUAUUCCAAUUUCAACUCAAUUUUUACAUAACUUAUAAUUUAGUCCCAAUUCAAACUAACUUGUUUUCUUUACAAUUUGUUCUUUAUUUUUCACUCAACUAUCACUUAAAAUCAAAUUUCAACUCUCUAAUUUCCCAUAAAUCCUUAAUUUCGAAUUGCAUUCAAUUUAGUCCCUAAAGCAUAAAACUUAUGAAUUACUUUACAAUUCAAUCCUUAUUUCAUUUCUAACUUGAAUUUCUAUCAAUCUAAUCCCUAAUUCAUCAUUUUAUUCAACAUGAACCAUAUUUAGAAAUCUAAUAACUUUCAAAAUAUCAAUUUAAUUUCAUCAAAACCUUAUUCCAAAGCUUCUAAAACAUCAAAAUUAAGUAAAAAAGGGCUAAAUUGACUUACCUAUUAAACUUCUAAACCUUCAAACCCUAAUUCUCCCUUUUUCUUUUCUUUCUCCUUUCUUUCUUUCCUUCCCCUGCUUUUCAUUUCUUCUAUUCUGCAUCUUUCCUACUUUUUCUUUCUUUUAUUUUCAUUAAACUAUUAUAUAUUAUUUAUACUUAAAUUAGUAAUACUUAUUUAUUAUUUAUACAUGUGUAUAUUAUUAGCACAUAUGUAUCCAUUUAUAACCAUACAUUUGUCAUAAUUUAAUUUAUUUAUUACAUAAAAAUCUUAUAAUAUAAUUAUUUAAUUAAUAAAUAUAUUUUACUUAAUAAUUAUCUAUUUAAUAACUAAAUACAAGUAUCACAAAUGUAUGUAUUUUUAUUAAUACACUUGUAUCAAAUCAUCAUCACACAUUUGUCUUUCUUUAAUUCAUUUAUUUAUUUACUUUAUUUAAUUAAUAUACAAUAAUAAUUUUAAUAUAAUAAUAUUUGCUUAAAUAAUAAGUAAAUACAUACAUGUAUUACAAAUGCAUGUAUAAUAUUUAUUACACAUGCAUAUUUUUAUUACCACACAUUUGUCACUAUUUUAAUUUAUUUAAUAAUGUAGUAAUUUAAUAUCAAUUAAAUAAUAAUAACCAUAAUAAUAAUAAAUUAAUUAUUCUAAGAAAAGUCUUAGAUUUUUCCAUCUUUUGUCGCCUAAAUUAGGACAAAUGGCAUAAUUGUCAUUUUGGUCCUUUACAUUUUCUUUUAAUCUAUAAUUCAACUUUCACACUUUAUUCAAUUUAAUUCUUAUACCUAUUUAGCCUCAAUUUCAGCUAAUUCAUCCUGUUAAACUCUAAUUAAUCACUCAAUUAUCUUCGUAAAUAUUUUUAAUAAAUAUUUAUGAAUCUAUUUUUCAGAAAUAGAGACCCGAUAAUAAACUUUUUCGAUAACCGUAAAAUUUGGGUCGUUACAAGAAAUUAAAAUUUCACUGCAUCAAUAUCAUAAACGCAACUCCGUAAUUGAGUUGAAAGCAAACCUGAAUAAGAUUAAAGAAUUGAAAGGAAAAAUAGAAGAGCUCAAGACCGCACUGCAAAACUGUGAACUUCGAGUUGAGCUUCUUGAAAUGAACAAUGAACACUGGAAAGAGCAAUAUCAAUGCUCUCAAUAUAAGAUUAGGGAUAUAGAUUACAUGAUGGACAAAGUUUUGGCUCAAGUACAGGAAGUAACAAAUCAUUUGCAAACUCUAGCGGUUCAAGCCGACAUACUAAGCUUAAAAUACAAAUCAGAAUUGGAUCGGGGUCGAGAAUUAGCUUGGCUUCUUAGGAAAGUUAAGGCUUUGAGUAUUAGGGCAAGGCCGUAUAUGUAAAAUGUAUCUGUUUUAUGUAAAGAGAUUCAUUUUCUAGUAAAGACAUACCAACCGAAUAUCGUUACGGUAUCUAAGGUAAACCAAGGACAUGGAUCAAAGAUUAGAGAAAUUGGAACAAAUUCAGAAAGAUAUGCACGAUCAGUCGCAAGCCCAACUACAUGAACAAUUAGUUAAGGUACAACAAGAGAUGAGGGAUCAAAUACAAGAGUCCCAAAGAAACAUGAUAAGCCAGUUGAUUCAGUUGCUGGCUGGAAGGACUGAAAAAGAGAAAAAUACUGUAAAUAACUCCGGGGAUGAUAAUAAAGACCCUAUAUUUCCCCUUUAGGCUUUGCCCCAGCAAAUUUCCAAGCCUAACCAGAUACAUAUCCACGAAGGGUACCCAUUACCAUAAGACCUCAACAAUAUCAAGCCGGCACUUCAGCACUGGUGAGUUACCCAACAAGCCGUCAUUCCAGAUUUGGACGACAUGGCAGAAAUUGAUAGAGCAAAAGUGGAACAACCGAAACAGUUAGAAGACCAGUGCAAGUGGUUGGAGGAGAAAUUCAUAGCUAUGGAGAGUACUGAUUACCUUUGCGAGGUUGAUGCUAAGGAGCUGAACUUAGUCCCAAAUCUAGUGCUCCCACCAAAAUUCAAAACUCCAGAAUUCAAAAAAUACAACGGGACUAGUUGUCCUAAAGCCUAUAUCGCAAUGUUCUACCGAAGGAUAACGGGAUACGUCAAUAAUGAAUAAUUGCUAAUUCACUGCUUUCAGGAUAGUUUGAUCGGGCCAGCCGUUAAGUGGUACAACCAACUAUGUUGUGCCAAAAUCAACUCAUGGAAAGACUUGUCAUAAGCUUUCAUGAAACAAUACAGCCAUGUGACCGACAUGACACUUGAUAGGAUUACACUGCAAAACAUGGUAAAGAAGCAAAAUGAAAGCUUUAGGAAAUAUGCUUAAAAAUGGAGAGAGGUAGCAACGCAAGUUCAGCCACAUCUUCUAGAGAAUGAGACAACAAUAUUUUUCGUAAAUACUUUGAAAGCCCUGUUCAUUAACCAUAUGCUGGAAAGUGCUACCAAAAGCUUCUCAAAUAUAGUAAUGUUCAGAGAGAUGAUUGAAAACACAGUAAGGAAUGGGAAAAUAGAUGCGGGGAAAAUGCCAAAAGAUCAGCCCCGAGAAAGAAAGAAAAUGAAGUGAAUAAUGGGAGUUUGUAUAAUAAAGGUUAUUCAAAACUAGUCACUGUAAGUCAACCAAGGACCGUAAUAACCAGCCAUCAAGGCCCCUCAAGACAAAAACCUAACUCAAGGCCAAACACAAACAAACUACAGUUCAUACCCAUCUCGAUGACAUAUAGGGAGUUAUAUCAGAACUUGUUCGAUGCGCAUGUGGUAUUCUCGUUCUACUUUAAACCCAUGCAACCUUUGCUCCCAAAAUAGUAUGAUGCGAAUGCUUAAUACGAGUACCAUGCAAGAAUAACGAGACACUCAAUGUAGAACUGCACUACAUUCAAAAAACUGAUUCAAAGAUUCAUCAAUAUAGGAAUUGUAAAGUUUAAUGAUCCAUCGGGACCUAAUGUGGUAGGAAAUUCUAACCCAGCUAUUCAGAGAAAGGGGUAAAUGCGAUAAUUGAGAAUGGAAGAAAAACGACCAAAAUUGAUUUUACAGAAGUAAGAUCCCUAUUAAAUUGCGUUUGGCCAGAAAUGAUAAACAUGGGAUUAAUCGUUCAAGAUUCGAAUGAGGCACCUAAAAGAGUGAUGAGCUGCUGUGAGUUCUACACUGAAGAAGGUCAUGAGAUCCAAGAGUGUGCUGAAUUUAAAGCUUUGGUGCAAAGUCUAAUGGAUAACAAAGAGUUGGAAUUCUUUGAAGAUGUCAAGGACUCAGAAGGAUGACAUGUUUGCCCCUCAAAGGAAGGAUCAACAGAUAAGGUCCACCAGGUCAACCACCCGGUGGUGAUUAUUUCAAAGCCAAGAAACAAUGAAGUGGGAGCACAAGUUGCAUCGAAAGUUAUAAUUCAGAAACCCGUGGCUUUUUCUUAUAAAGACAGCAAAAGGGUUCCAUGGAAUUACGACUGCAACGUGGUGAUCCCAGGAGAGGAAAACUCAAUUGGCACUUUAGAAAAGGGCCAAUAUAUUGGUUUCUACAUGCGUAGUGGGAAGCGCUAUGAACCUGCAGGUGUGAAAAUCAAGCCCACUAAAGAAAAAAACCCUUGUAGUUCAGGAAAAGAAAGAAAAAAAGGUUAGAUUUGAAUCACCUGUUAAUGAGCUAAUAAAUGACAACGAGGCUAAGGAAUUCCUAAAAUUCUUGAAACAUAGGAAGUAUAGUGUUGUGGAAAGGCUACACAAACAACCAGCUUGCAUAUCAGUACUAGCCUUGUUCUUGAGCUCAGAGACACAUCGUAGCGCGUUGAUGAAAGUGAUGAAUGAAGUUUAUGUCACUAAUGAUAUCUCUGUAAACAAGCUAGACCACUUCCUUAACAAUAUAAGUGCCGAAAAUUUCAUCUUUUUUAAUGACGAUGAAAUACCUCUUAGGGCAUGGGAUCCACGAAGGCCCUACAUAUCACUACCUAAUGUAAAUGAUAUACAAUGUCAGGGGUGUUAAUCGAUAAUGGAGCUUCACUGAACGUCUUGCCUCUAUCCACCCUGAACAGAUUGCCAGUGGAUAGCUCUCAUAUGAAGACGUGUCAAAGCAUAAUGAGAGCAUUCGAUCGUAUAGAAAGGAGGGUGAUAGGAAGGAUUGAAAUACCUCUCUUAAUUGGUCCGAAUACAUAUAAGGUAUACUUUUUGGUGAUGGAUAUCAAGCCCUCUUACAACUGCUUGUUGGGUAGACUUUGGAUUCACUCGACUGGGGCAGUGCCAUCGUCACUAUACUAAAAACUAAAAUUGGUAAAGGAAGGUCGACUAGUAACGAUAAAUGUUGAAGAGGAUAUUAUUACAUCCGUAACUAGCAACAGAAUUUUCCUCUCAAUAACUGGAAUUUGUGAAUGCAACAUUCAUUGUUGAAGGAAGCAAAAUCCCAGUACCUAAAAUAUCCAAAACUACGAGGAUGGGUCUGCAGUUGGCAAUUAGGAAAGGAGCCUUACCUAGGAAGGGACUCGAAAAAUACUUACAAGGAAGGGUCGCUGCACCAAUGCUGUUGGACAAACGAGACCGCUUUGGCCUAGGAUACAAGCUAGAUGCGAGGCAAAGGAAGAAAGAGUUGGAGUAGAAGCAAGAAAGGAGAAGAACGUGACUGAGUGGAGGAGAAGUCAAGUUUGAAUCGACGAUCUUUCAUCAUAUAUCCAAAAUAUUCGAGUCAAGAGGAACCAUUUACCCAAAAUAAAAUAUGUCAAGAAAAGAAACUGCGAAAAAAAUGUUGGGAAACUUGAGCAUCAAUGCCAUAUUCGAAGAAGGAAAGAGGUGAAGAUCGGAGUUUGUAUCACUGAAGAGACAAAGCAAGACCUCAUUAAGUUACUCUAAGAAUUCAAAGAUGUCUUCACAUGGUUGUAUUAAGACAUGUUUGGUCUAAGUACUAAUAUCGUGGUACACCGGCUUCCCAUAAGGGAAGAAUACAAGUCGGUUCAACAGAAACUUCGAAGGAUGAGGCCUGACGUCCUGUUAAAAAUAAAAGAAGAGGUCAAAAAGGAAUUUAACGCUGGUUUCCUGCAAGUGGUUAAAUACUCGGAGUGGAUAGCUAAUAUAGUCCCCGUCCCUAAGAAAUACGGGAAAGUACGAAUAUGUGUGGAUUACAGAGAUUUCAACAAAGCCAUCCCGAAGGAUAAUUUCCCCUUACCUCACAUCGAUACCUUAUUGGAAAACAGAAUAGGUUAUUCACUUUUCUCCUUCAUGGAUGGCUUCCCUGGAUACAACCAGAUCAGGAUGCAUCCUGAAGAUAUGGAAAAGACCACAUUCGUAACCAUGUGGAGAACAUUUUACUAUAAAAUAAUGCCAUUCGAACUGAAAUAUGCGGGAGCGACAUAUCAAAGAGUCAUGGUAACUUUGUUUCAUGAUAUAAUGCACAAGGAAAUUGAGGUUUAUGUCGAUGAUAUGAUAGCAAAAUCCCGAACAGAUAAAGAGCAUAUUCAAGUCCUGAAAAAAAUUCUUCUUAAGAUUGAGAAAUUUCAGCUAAAACUCAAUCUAGCAAAAUAUAUCUUCAGGGCUAGGUCAGGAAUAUUGCUAUGAUUCAUAGUCAGCGAAUAUGGGAUCAAAACUGACCCGGACAAAAUUAAAGUUAUACAAGAGGUCUGGGGUUUCUUAAGGAUAUUAUAUUACAUUGCUCGGUUCAUUUCACAACUAACCGAGAAAUGCGACCCCAUAUUCUGUCUCCUUAAUAAACAUAAUCUAAAUGUAUGGAAUGAGGAGUGCCAGAAAACUUUUGGCAAGGUCAAACAUUACUUGUCCAAUGCUCCAGUGCUACUGUUACCUAGUCCAGAUAAGCCAUUUAUACUGUACUUGGCAGUAUUUGGAAAUUCCAUAGGAUGCGUGCUAGGCCAACAUGAUGAGUCAGAGAGGAAAGAAAUAGUGAUAUAUUACCUUAGUAAGAAGUUCACUGAAUGUGAGACAAGAUACUUGCCAACUGAGAAGUUGUGUUGCGUCUUAAUCUGGACAACCUGAAGACUGAGACAGUACAUGUUGUACCACACAACUUGGCUUAUCUAAAAAAUGAACCCACUGAAGUACAUAAUUGAGUCAGCUACUCUAAAUGGAAGGAUGGCCUGAUGGCAGAUUCUACUUUCUGAAUUUGAUAUCAUUUAUGUGAACCAGAAGGCAAUAAAAUGGAGUGCAAUAGCAUAUUUUCUAGCCAGUAGAGCUCUAACAGAUUACGAGCCUCAAGAAGAACAUCCUUAGAAACAAAAUUUUGAUAGGGCUUCAAACAUUAUGGGUAACAGAAUCGAUGCAAUCCUGGCAUCCCCAUAUAGAGAUCAUUAUCCCUUUACUAGUAAAUUAAAAUUUGAUUGCACGAACAAUACGGCAGAAUACGAAGCAUGUAUCAUGGGUAUCCGUGUAGCCAUAGAACGCAAGAUCAAAAUACUAGAGGUAUAUGGGGAUUUUGCAUUAGUGGUCUAUCAACUGAAAGGUGAAUGGGAAACAAGAGUUCCCAAGUUGAUCAAAUAUAGAAAGCUGGUCCUAGAGUUAAUUAAAGAAUUUGAUGACAUCACAUUUUGCUACCUUUUGCGAGAUGAAAAUCAGAUGGCUGAUGCCUUAACUACUUUAGCUUCCAUGGUCAAAAUGAACAAACAAGAGGAUGUAAAACCUAUCCAGAUAAGUAUUUAUGAGGCUCCGACUCAUUGUUACAAUAUAGAGGAAGAGGAAGAAGAUGAUCACCCUUGGUACCACGAUAUACUGCGAUACAUAAAGAAUCGUGAAUACCCUGAUCAAGCGACUGAGAAUGAUGAAAUGAUGCUGAGGAGACUGGCCAAUCACUAUGUCUUAGAUGGGGAGAACUAUUCGUGACAGGUAAAUUUUAUAUAUUUAUAAUUAAUCGUUCUUGAAACUAACUAUUAUCACGAUGUAGGCAAGUGUACCUAUCGAACAGUAGCAUAGUUUCAGCAAGAUCGGAUUGUCGAACCAAAGGAACUAAAAGUACUAGCAAUGACAGUCUUUUUAUUAUCUAGCCUAAGAAUAAGGGGGUUUUGUUUUCACUAACUAAUUAUCUAAACUAAGAAUUCACAGAAAAUAGAAUUGGGAAAUUACUUUUGGAAAAACGAUUGAAUUAAGACAAUACCUAAUUAAGAAUCCACCUAGACUUCACUUGUUAUUCUUACUCCGAAUCGGACGAUUUAUUCAUUUAACUUACUCUGUAGAGAUCCCUAAGUUAGGUUAUUAUCCCUAUACAAGACUAAUAACGUCUAAUCCCUAGAUUGAAUAAUUUAGACUUUUAUCUAAUUAACACCCUAGGGUUGCAUUAACUCGAUCUAUGGAUCCCCUUAUUAGGUUUCACCCUAAUCCAGCAAAAUCUUGUCACCCUAUCUCUAGGCGUGCAAUCAACUCCGCUUAAUUAUGACAAAUUUACUCUUAGACAGGGUCUAUUCCUAUAAAUAAGAGCUUAUCUUGAAUCAGUAUCGUGGGAUAUCAAAACAAGAAUUAAGAACAAGUUAAAUAUUUAUCAUACAAUUCAGAAAAUAAUAACAAGAUUCGACUUAGGUUUCAUUCCCCUUAGGUAUUUAGGGGAUUUAGCUUAUAACUAAAAAGGAAAACAUCUCAGAAGAAUAAUGAAUACAAAACAUAAAGAAAACCCAAAACUCCUGAAGAGAAAUUGAUGGGAGAUCUCCAGUCUUGAUGGUGGAUCCGGCUUCUGAGAUGGAUCAAUUGGCAUCCCUUGAGCAGUUCCCUGCCUCCUUUUCUCUGCGCCCACUUUCCUCUUCCUUUAGGGUGUAUUUAUAGGCUUUGGAAUGCCUAAGAACCCUCGAAAUUAGCCUUUUCCAACUUGGACUCAAAAACAAAGUUUAUUUUUAUUUUAUUAUAUGGUCUGUAUUAUGAUAGACAUGUCGUGUGAAAAAUUUGAUACGAAAAUUUUAUUGAUUAAGUGCUUAAUAAUGAGAAUGUCUAAAUCGUAUAAAAUGCGAAAGUUGAAUUCUAGUAGCUUUAAGGAUUAAAUACUUAUGGAAUUUAAAACUAAAGGUCCUUAUAUGGUAAUUACACCAUUAAAGAAAACUGUGGAUUUUUGGUCGUUCAUCCAUGGAAGAAUUAGAAAAGAGUAGGAACUAAAUUGGAAAAUAAAAUAAUUAAUUAAUUAAAAGAUGAUAAAAAGAAAAUAUCAUCUUAUUUUGUCAUCUUCAACCCCAAAAUUCUAUAGAAACCCUAGGAGAGAGAGAAGAAACUUUCAAGGCUUAGUUAGGUAAGUUUUUUGGUCCCAUUUUUAGUAAUUUUGAUAUUUUUGAAACCGGGAUAGUCUAAUCUAUCUAUUUGAGGGAUUAAUUUGAAAAGUUAUCAAGGUAUGAAAAAUGGGUCAUGGAUGAAUAUGCUGAAAAUUAGAAAUUUAUGGUAGAAAACGAAAGGUUGUUGAUAGAUAAACAACUUUUACAAAGUUAUUUUUUAUGAAAACAUGAUUUAGGGACUAAAAUGUAAAGUUGUGAAAUUUGAUGAAAAAUUUUAAAAUUUUAUGAAUACAUGUGUUGUAAAAAUUUGUAAAGGGAUUUUGGUUAGGCUUGGAAUGGGGAGUAAAUUGCACAAGUUUCAUUUUCCGAGCCUAGGGAGAAAAUUGAAAUUUAUGUAAAAGUUAGGGGCAAAAUGGUAAUUUUGCCUAAGACGUAAAUUGAGUCCAAAUAAAUACGAAAUGAGAUGAAUUGAUGAUUAAAUUCAUUUAUAUAGAUCCGGAUAACACAAACUUGAGGCCAGCUCGAGGAAAAGAAAAGAUUUCGGAUUAGUAGAUUAUUUACGCGAACAAGUGUCGAGGUAAGUUCGUGUAACUUAGUCGAAAAUGUAAUUGUGUUAAUUGAAUGUUGUAUUUGUAUGUAAUGUUACUUAUAUUGAAAUGUAUUACUUGAAUGCUAUAAUGGAAAAUUUCAUACAUGCUUGAAAUGAUGAAAAAGGGGUUAAGUCCCAAUUGAAAAUUGAAUUCCAAUAAUUAUAUGCGCUUUCUUGAAACUAAUAAGGUCCUGCAUUUGGUGCGAACGGGAUUUAGCUCGGACGAGUAAUCCUAUUGACCUUGUUAUGGAAAAGAUUUAGCCCAGACGGGUAAUCUUGAUAUAAUACCUCUCGAGUAUACGUUACGAUUAGGGUUUAGCCUGGACUGGUAAUCCUAAUAGAGCUCUUUAAGCAUACGUUAUAUAAAGGAUUUAGGCUAGACUGAUAAUCUUGGAUUGAUAAUCCUGUUAUACGAUAUGUGACUCAAGAGCGUGUUCCUCGGUUAAGUGCCCUAAGGGGUACGCUUGAAUAAGAAUUGACGGAUUAUUAAAUGGUACACCCUGAGUGUACCACCUGAGUAUUCAUCGGAAUUUCAAUGAUCCAACGGACAUAUAACUAUUGACAUGGCAUAAGAAUUUUGAGAUGAAAUGAUAAUGUCUUGAAAGAGUAUUGCAUGAUAAGCUCAUCUAUCCUUAUUUGAUGUAUAUGUAAACUUUGUGACUAACAUGUUUGAUUGGAUGCAUGUGGUUAGGCAAUUUUGCCAAAUGGAUGGAAAACUUGUUACUGUAUGCUUAGAUUUAAUAAAUGAGAUUGGUAAGUUUAGUAUCCAUUAUACGAACUUACUAAGCAUGUAAUGUUUACUCCAUUUUAUUUUUCCCCUAUUUUAUAGUGCUCGGAAGUUUGCGAAGGUUGGAGAUCACUCGAGCAUUGUCACACUAUCAACUUACUUAUUUUGGGUAUACUUAGUAAAAUCAUUUUGGUAUAAUGGCAAGUAUAAGACAACUUGACCAUUAGUUGCUUGAUAAUGAUGCUUGUAAUCUAGCAAUUGGAAUGGCUAGUAAUGGUUGUUUUGAUAUACUUGUACUGUCAUGCUAUGGUAGCUAUAUUUAUAUCAUAAGUAGUUGAUCAACAUCAAGUUUAACACAUGGUUUGAACUAAAGUAAGAUUGUAAACAUAUAUACAUGAAAUGAUAUGCCAUGUUGAAUGAUGGAAAUUGCCUAAUUUGAAUACUUGAAAUGGUUAAAAUGUGUUUGGUAUGUUACCGUGCAGGAAAAUGGUAAAUUUGGGUGACAAAUAAGUCUAGGAAAUGACUUUAUUUUGUCCACAUGGGCAUGUGUCUAAACCGUAUGUGACACACAGCCGGGUACAUGGGCGUGUAGUUAGGCCGUAUGUUCCAUGCACCUUAAUUUUGAGAAACAUAAUGCUCAUAAUUGUGCACAAGGACAGAGACACGGGCGUGUGUCUCAGCCGUGUGUGCUACACGGCCUAGAACACGGGCGUGUCUUAGCCGCGUGAAACUUGUACCUAAUUUUGAAUUGAAUUAAUUAACCACACGGUCUAGCACACGGGCAAGUGGCAUAGUCAUGUGCACAAGUCAGAGAGUUACACAGGGUAGGACAUGGCCGCUAGCACGGGCGUGUCCCUUGGACACACGGGCGUGUGAGCCUUGCACCUUGGAAAAUUUUAUAAUUUUGUGAAAAAUUCUUAGAGCUCCCGGUUAAGCUCGGACUUCAUUCUAAUGCUAGUAUUGCGCCUCGAGGGUCCAAUUAAAGGACAUUUUGAAUAAUCUCGGCAAAUGAAUAGUAAUUAACAUAAAUUAUUUGUAAAAUGUUCUUAAAGUUUUAGAGAUGCUCUGAAACCCUGUUUCGAUGACAGAUACGGGUUAGAGGUGUUACAACACAUGCUAAUUGUUUUACAAUGGCCAGACAAAUCAUGAGACUCGAGUAUUAUUGGUCCACUAUAGAAGGGGAUUGUAUCAGUUAUGCCAAACGAUACCAUAAGUGUCAAAUUUAUGUAGAUAAAAUUCAUAUGCAUCAUUCACCUCUUCAUGUUAUGACUUUUCCAUGGCCUUUCUCCAUGUGAGGUAUAGAUGUCAUUGGGCCGAUCUCACCAAAAGCAUCUAAUGGGCAUCAAUUUAUCAUCGUGGUCAUUGAUUACUUCACCAAGUGGGUAGAGGCCACUUCUUACGCCAAUGUCACAAAAUCGAGAGUCGGUAAAUUCUUAAAGAAAGAGAUCAUAUGUCGGUAUGGGAUGCCAGAAAGGAUUAUAUCUGACAAUGUAUUGAACUUGAACAACAACACGAUAGCAGAGGUCUAUAGUGAAUUCAAGAUCAAACACCACAACUCGUCACCAUAUUACCCAAAAAUGAAUGAGGCGGUGGAUGCAACCAAUAAGAACAUUAAGAAGAUCGUGGAGAAAAUGACUGAGACUUAUCAAGAUUGGCAUGAGACAUUUCCACUUGCCCUUUAUGCUUAUCGAACGUUUGUUAGGACCUCCACCGGGGCAACACAUUUCUCAUUGGUUUAUGGAAUAGAGGCGAUUUUGCCUAUUGAAGUCGAGAUUCCUUCUUUCUGAGUUUUGUCAGAGUUGAAGUUAGAUGAAGCAGAAUAGAUCCAAUCUCAAUCUAAUCAGCUAAACUUGAUUGAAAAGAAGAGGCUGAAAGCUAUCCGUCGUGGUCAGAUGUACCAAAAACGAAUGAUGCGAGCAUAUGACAAAAAGGUUCGCCCCAGAGAAUUCCAUGAGGAGGACCUGGUAUUGAAAAAGGUCAUUUCUAUACAAAAUGACUUCAGAGGAAAGUGAUGCCAAACUGGGAAGGACCUUUAUAUAGUAAAGAAGGCCUUUUCUAGAGGAGCGCUGAUUUUGACCAAGAUGGAUGGCAAGAACCUGCAUAAUCCUGUGAAUUCAGACUCAGUGAAGAAAUAUUUCACUUGAAAAAAAUGAGAGACCAAGGCGAAAACUCGCAAAGGGCGCCUUGAGAUCAAAAGGGUUCUGAGUUGAAAACCAGGAAAAUGGCAGCUCAAAUUUAGAUUGAAGAUUGAACAUGUGAUGGUUAAGUCUUCUCGAAAGGAAGAACGUUACAUUUUGGGGCAUAAACAAAAUACUUUAGAUCUCCUAAACACAUCAAGUUCAAAAUGGUCUUCGAGAAGUUUGUGCAGAGAAGCUCAUGCUAUGAUAUUUGGGGCACCUGUUUUCAUCUUACUCAUUUUGUAUUUUAGCAGCGUUUGAUAUUUUGAUCAAUCUAUUCAUUUCGAGCUUUGAUCCCAAUAAAUUUCAAUCUUGUCCACUGUUAUGAUCUUUUUCAAGCAUUUUUCAUUGAAAUAAAGAUUAAUGGACAAAUAAUAUUCAAGUAAAAGGAUUUCUGCAUAUUUCUCUGAAAGGUUUUCUAAAUAGUACAAGAAUCUGAAACAGGACCACUAGUCAGAACUAACCAAGUCUAGGAGUUGGAAAUGUUUAGGAAUGAAUAGUUUAAAUUGUGAUUACUUCUUUGGGUUUUCUGUCAAAGAUACUAGCUGAACAAGAAGGCAGGGUAAUGCGUCAGUGAUAAAAUCUUGAUGAAUAACAAGCAAUGUCAACCUAAGCAUUAAAAGGGGAUUAUUCUCGAAAAAAAGACAUUAUACAUUCAUGCAAAUGUCAUUCAUACACAUCUAAUUAGGAGCAUUUGAUUCAUUCUGAUCAUAGCAUCCAAAUCAUUUGGCAUAAAUAUAGGCCCAUCAAAUGGAUUCUAUAGGUCAUGUUCCCUAGAAAACGGUGUAAUAGAUCAGUGAAACCACAAAUCCUAUACCCCUGAAGUUGCUGUGUGACGGAUUAAAGUCAUCGUGGCGAAUCUUAUCUCCCUGAAGUUGUAAUGGAGCAAACCAAAGCUACAAAUCUUAUCUCCCUGAAGUUGCAAUGGAGUAGAUCGAAGAUAGCAAAUCUUAUCUCCCUAAAGUUAUAGUGGAGCAGAUUAAAACCACAAAUCUUAUCUCUCUAAAGUUGCAGUAGAGCAGAUUAAAGCUACAAAUCUUAUCUCCCUAAAGUUGCAAUGGAGCAGAUUGAAGAUAGCAAAUCUUAUCUCUCUGAAGUUGCAGUAGAGCAGAUUAAAGCUACAAGUCUAAUCUCCCUGGAGCUGUAGUGGAGUAGAUUGAAACAACAAAUCCUAUACCCCUGAAGUUGCAGUGGGUUAGAAUGAGGCUACCUGAAGAAAGGGAAGCACCACAGAAGUCGAGAUUCGACAAGACCAAGGAAAAUUGGCAGUUUUAAAGUCUUUGCUCCAUUCUCGUUACAUGACAAUGAGCAAAGUGGGGUAGUUGUAACAGGCCAAUUUAGCCCGGGCCCAAACAAACCAAACCAAAAAUAAAUAAAAAGGUCCAAUCCAUUUACAAAAAAAUCUCAGACCCAAAUAGCCCAAAACAAAACCCUAAGACCCAAUUACAAGCCCAAACACUUAAACAAUUUUCAGCAAAAAAAAAAGGAACAGAAACCCUAGCCGUCGCACCCUAAAUCCCUAGCCAGCCGCCGCCGUCGCUCUUCCUGCAUCAGCACCACAUCCUAGCCCCCAACCACUCCUGAUAAGACGAAGCAACAUGCAAUAGCAAGUACAAAACAGUAAAGAAAUUGAUAAAAAUAAUAAGUGUAAUCGGCUAUAAAAGCCUAAAAAAAUAUAUUGUUGUUCUUCAUCUCUUUUUUUAAAAAAAAAUUGAGAAAUAUACACAAAAAAAAAAUCAAAAUAUGAAAUAAAUAAAAAAACUUCAAAAGGUGAUCUUUUUAAUUUUUUCCUUUUAAUUUUGUUAUUACAUAUAUAUAUAAAGAAAAGUUUGAAGGUUCACCGGAUGCCUUGCGCUCCAUUACCGUGAGAAAGCGAGGCUGUCACCUCGGAUGAAACAUGACUUUGAGGAGUUUUUCUUUUUUAAAAACUCAGAAAAUCAAAAGGUUUUGGGUCUGUUCUUUUUUUUUUAGUAGGUUUCAGGGGUUUUGGGUUUCCAAUAUGGGUUUAUUAAAAAAAGGCGGCCAAAUAUAGUUUUUUUGUAAAAUCAGACCACCGGUGGUGUGAAAUGAUUUUUUUUAGAAUAUUUUUUACUUAUAUAGGCUUCUAAAACAACACCGUUUUGGGAGUCACCCCAGACGCCCAACAUAACGUCGUUUUGGUGCGACCCGUGGUCUAACCCGAUCCACCUCUAGGAUCCACGCGUUUUUAAACUGAGGGUCUAUUUACUCUUUCGAUCCUCCCACUUUUUCACUAUUUCUCAAUCUCAUCCUACUGCUAUUUAUUAUUUCUUUUAAUUUAGCCCUUUUAUUCUAUUUUUUGUGCAAUUUGAUCCCCCAAUUGCUACCCCCUAAGGAAGGACACGUGCCCAAGAACUUUGGAAUAAUUUCUUAUUUGGUCCCUGUUUAUUUUAGCGUGUUUUAUUUUGAUCCCCUAUUUUGUUUUUUUACAAUUUACGCCCUAUAAUUUCAUUUAAAUUUCGAUCUAGUCCUUUUUUAUUUUAUUACAAGUUAGCCCCUUUAUUAUUUAUCUUAUUGUGAUUUACCAUAUUAUUUCAUUUAAAUUUUAAUUUUAACCUUUGCUUAUUUAAUUUCCUCUCUUUUACAAAUUGUUUUAUUUAUUUAUUUAUUUAUUAAAAAAUCAUAUUGUUUAUAUCAUUUUAUUUGUGCAUUUCUUUGUUCAUUUAUUAUUGUUGUCAUUAUUAUUUUAUUUUUUAUUUUUAUUCUUGUUAUUUUAUUAUCCCUUUAUUAUUUUUGGUACUCUCAUGUCAUGUUUAUUUAUAUUUGUUUUUUUCAUCAUGCAUUUUCCAUUUUAUUUUAUUUUAACAUUACCUUAUUAUUAUUAUUAUUAUUAUUAUCAUCAUCAUCAUCAUCAUCAUCAUCAUCAUCAUCAUCAUCAUCAUCAUUUGAUCAUUAAUAUUAUUAUUAAUUACAUUAGUAUUACUAUAGUAUUCCUUAUUUACUUAUUAUAUAUUAUUCUAAUGUUUUACAUUUAGCCAUUUUACAUUAUUUCAUUAUCAUAUCAUACAAUAUAAUUACCCAUUUUGUACAAUGCCCAAAUAACUAAAAUGCAUACCGUUUUAAGCUUUACGCUCGUUUUUCGCAUGAUGCAUAAAAAAAGAAAUUUUUUAAACCGAGGCAAAUGUUCAUUAUUUUGGAAUUAGAAAAGUCAUGUUCCUAACUUACGGAAUAUCGCUUCCUUCUAAAACCGAGAUAAUUGAAUAUCUAUUUUAAAAUAAAUAUAAAAAAUAAGAUUUUAGCAUUUGUUCUUGUUUACGAGAAUUUAAGGCAUUGUGUCCUAAUUUACGGGACAUGGUCCUUUCUUCUCGAUUAACUUGAAAUAAUCCCCUUUUUUUAAAAACCAAUUUAGUUAAGUAAUGUCUUAAUAAAUGAUCGUAUUUUAAAAUCUCUUCAAAUUUUUAAUUUUCGACACUAAAGACAUCAAAUAAUCAAUUAGGUACCAAUUUUGGGCGUAACGAGGGUGCUAAUCUUUCCUUGUGCGUAACCGACUCCCGAACUCAUUUUCUGGAUUUUUGUAGACUAAAAAAUAUUAUUUUGAUAAAUCAAACCUCUUAUUAAAAUGAUCAAAUUAUGAGGUGACCCGAUCACGCCUAUUAAAAAUGAUUGGUGGCGACUCCCAUUUUCAUUUAUCUUAAAACCAAAAGUCAAUCUUUCAAAAGGUUUCGACAGGUAUCAAUCAAUAUCGUUCAAUUUCACAUACUUUACGCAUUUUCAUUAUGCAUAAAUAGCACCCUUUUCAAUACACAAUAUAACAAAUAUCUCAUGGGUUAAAUCAUACAUAAGCUUAAUAUCUCAAUAUAUUAUAUCAUUCAGUCAAACAUUCUCAUAUCUCAUAACUCAAAUAUGCAAUUACAAACUCAAUCAAACAUUUAUACUAUGAAACUAGCAAUUUUGCCACCAUGUCAAUAUUUUAAGGCUCGAAACAUACCUGGUUCGGCCACUCACAAAAUCAAUAAUUCGGCUAUUAAUUCAAUCCAAUUAGCAAGCUAAUUUAUCAAAUAUAACAUGGUAUUUAACAUUUUCAAACAAUUUUAUGAGUUUAGGACCGACACCUUAUCCUUCGCUUCCUCGCAGCACAUUAGCAAAUCUUCCAAUUUUCCUUAAUAAUUCCUUAAACGAACCUAAACCAACAUUCAAUAUAAAGUCAAUCAACCAGCCCCUAAACACCCACUUAUGAGUUCAUACCAAUCGUUGAAAUUAUAACUAUUUUAUGAAUCCAAACUAGUUAGAUUCCUUACAUUGUAUCGAUGAAAACCAUACAUACAACCGUUCUUCGCCGUUACUGAUGAUUUGGAGCAUUUGGGUCAGCACCUAAUUCAAUAAUAUACUAGAAAAUUAGUAGCUAAUUAAUGAUUAAAUUCCUUCAUUUAAUCAAUUCAUAACCUUUACCCAACAACUAUGUCGAAAUAACAAAAUAGUUACCCUUAAUUGCACUUACGAUUCACGAUUUGUAGGUUUCAAAUGGCCAAUCGGUCAAGAAUAUUUUUCUCUAAUUGAAAUGGGUUUAAAAUCUGAUUAGGAGGAUUAAAGAACUCAAAUUAAGGUUGGAAAAAUAUAAGCAAGAACCAAGAAACAAAACAGCCCAUUUUCUUGCCCAUAGGUGCACGUACCACCACUCGCAGUGGCCAAAAUCGGGGAUGAAUUUCAAAAUGGUUUGAGAUUUCAUUAAAAUGUUGAAAAAUAAUUUUAAAAUCAUUCAAAAUCCACUAAAUUCAAGAUCUGAAAAUUUUGGUUUUUAAUUGACAAAAUUAAUCAAGAAAUUGAAGAGAAAAGAGACCUUACCCAAGCUAGUCAAGGGAAAUGGCAAUGACACCUUCUUGACAAUGUUCGAGACCGAUCUUGGAGUUCAGGGUUUCAGAUUUGGGGCUUAUUCUAAUGAGAAAAAAUGAAAUAAAUAUGGUGGAGAAUAUGUUAACAAAUCUUGUGGCAAAAAGAAAGAAAAGAAAGAGAUGGUAAAACUAGGUGUAGGCGACGACAACAAUAGAGGAAAGGAAAAAAAAUUAAAAUCAAAGAGAAGGAGAGGAACGGAUGAGGCAAUGAGAAGGAUGAUUAAAGGCUGAUUAUUAGUGAAAAAUUAAUAUUUAUACCUAGGCUAACUAGGCUUGGAUGGCCCACACAUUAAAACAAGGGUUUUUGUCAAAAAAAAUUAAAUUGUUUGCAUGGGAAUGGAAUUGAAGUUAGGACCUUAAGGAUAAAUUCACUAAUUUUUAACCAUCAAACCAAUAGCUCAUUCUUGAGAUAAUUUUGAAAUAUUUAUUUUAAAAAACAAGACAUGUCACAAACUAGGGUUUAAGGAAAAUUUUGCAAAAUAAUAAGAAUGGUGAGAGAAAAGAGAUUUGAACUUGGAUUUCAAGAAACAUUUCACUAAAACUUAACCAACAAACCAAUACCUCAUUUAUUUCUUAAAAAUGCAUAGAUAACCUCAAAAAUUAAGGCAUUACCAUUCUCUCUUGAUUCACAAAUCGGAUUCUACUAAACCCCAAUUUUUGGGAUGUUACACGAGUAACAGUAACAAUUUAUCGGUAAUUCAAACAUAGUAGGCAUGUAUUAGUCACAUAGCAUGCACAUAUAGUAAUAAUAUAUAAUCAAUUAAAUCAUGAGUUCCAUAUUAUUCAUAAUAGAAGGGACUUAAUUGAAAGAUAUAAUAUACUAAAAAUAGUUUGGGAAUUAAUCAAGAACUAAAUUGAACAAAAUAUAAAAUUUUGGGUAAAAUUAUAAAAUCUGAGAAAUAAGGGACACACAGCCGUGUAACCAGACCGUGUGGGAAGCCCUGGGUCAUGUGGAGGGGUUACGGGGUAGUGUGGCUAGGCUGUGUGUCAGACUGUGGUUAUGUGGAAUUUAUAAAAUCAACCUACAAGGGAGACAUGACUAGGUGGCAAGUCGUAUGAAAGGUCCUAGCCGUGUACGAAUAAAAAAACCUAGGGUUUCAAGGGGAACAUGGCCGUGUGAGGGGCCGUGUGGUCUAUUUCGGUGGCUCUCAAAACUGUGUGGCUGGUCGUGUGGCCUUAUCCUGAGGCACAGUUUACCCCGAUUUGCUUGUAAAAGAACACACACCUUUCACCAGGAUCACAAAUGACAUCCCUUGCAUUCAAAUUUAGUCUGAUACACCUGUAACUAGUUCUUCAAACGACAUUUAAACACAUAUUAAGGUUUGUUUUCACGAUCUAUCAAGAUUAACGAAAAAAUUAGCAAUAAAUCAUUAAGAGGUUGAUUAAACGAAUGAAAAAGUAGUUUCGAGAUAAUGAUAUUACGAAUCUUGAAGUUGUCGAGAUAAUGAUAUUACGAAUCUUGAAGUUCGAUUGACAAACAAGGCACUUACUGAUUUUUGAAAAGAUUAGAGAUGAAUUGACGACCAUACAAUCUGGGCCAAUAGGGUCAUGAGGACCAUACGGGCAUGUGUGAAAUCGUGUGUAAGGCCAUGUGGGCUCAAAUUUUGAAUUUUUCCUUAGGGUUGUGUUUGUUGUACCAAUCGUAUGUAAUCCUUCUAUAGGGUCUGUAUGGUACAAAUUAGUCUAUAGAUUCUAAUUUCUUAUACUUUGUUAGAGUUAAAUAAGAUUUAUAUACGCUUGAGUAAUCUGUUGUUUUUGAUUGCAUGAUCUUUUAGAUCCUAAUGUUAUCUUAUUUUGAUAUGAAAAGCAUGUAUGCCAUACACGUAUCUAAUAUCUAAUUAGUUUUACAUGUGCAUUGGGGUGAGAGUUAUAAUUAUGGAGGAAGUGUGGGUCAUUUAGUUUAUAUGUUAUAUUUGGUGGCUCAGCCACAUAUAUAUCUGCUUCUGACAGAUUAUCGCCUAAUGAUUUGGCAGCUAGACAGUAAAUAUUCUAAAAAGUGGUAUACAUUCACUUAGCAGUGUAUGGGUUGGAUGGGUAUUUAAUACCCUAAAUAGUAUGUAGGGAUGGUUAGAGAUGGCGUCUAGUGGAUAGGGGUAGGAUUUUAAUUUGUAUCUGAUAUGCACUGAUUCUAUUAUUGUUUAUGAAAUGUGUCUGAUUGGCAUCUAAAUGCAUGUAUGAAAUCGUAUAUGUUGUUUUAUUGUUAUAAGUUACACAUUGAUACCGAAAGCUCAUUAUCUGUUUGUUUGAUUGCUAGGUAAUCCUAAAACAUAGGACAGGUCGGUGCAACGGGAGCUUGGUUAAACACUUUUAAUUUGUACUAUUUAAAAUUUGGAUUUUUCAUUUUUGGCACUGUUGGUCUAUUUCGGACAUUUGGGACUAUUUUUGUUUAGAACUUUUAUUUUAUGUUUGAAACUAUUCAAUCAUUUUAAAAUCAUAACUACACUUUUGGCAAAACGUUGGGUUUUCAAAAUUCAAACUGUAGUUUCCAAACUGAAUUUAACUAAGAGUUCCACUACAAACAUAAGCAUCCUAUAAAGUAUAAUUUAAUCGACAGAAUCAAUGAAUUAAAUAAGGAAUAUAUUUUCAUUUAAGAUCAACCGAAAUUGCUUUAUCAGAAGCUUGUGUUAUUUCUGGGAGCCUAAAUGAUUUCUGAAUUUUCAAAGUAAAUCAUGGAACUUCUCCAGAUUUAGCCGUAACGUCUAGGCCAGGUUUGGGGUGUUACGUUUGGUGGUAUCAGAGCCUAGGUUUAAGACUCGGGUUGUAAUUUUUGGGUUCAAAUUUUGUAAAAAGUGUUUUAAAAUAAAAUAUUAUUUUUUAUUAAAUCCAAAAAAUAAGUUUUUAAAAUACCGAGUCUCCAGCACCGAUCCUAUAAGUACUUCUGUCUUAUCUAAACUUUUAGUUUAGAAAAACACUACAAUAUUAGAAUUACUCUACUGUAGUUAAAUACCGUAGCAACUCUGUAAAAUCUUCUAAUAAAAUUCAGGACAUAAAAUAUUUAGUAACAAACUUCAAAAUUGAUGCAUAAAAUUCUAGAAAUGUAGAUAUUUUACAAUAACUAUGCAUCAAACUCGUGGACGAGGUACCCGUGUGAUGCGACCCCAGCCGCAUCAUGUUAGACACAACUCGACGUUACCGAGAUUGGCCUAAACACGAGUGGCCCAAGUGCAAAAUGAAAUUUAAUUUCGAUUUGUUAACUUGUGUACAGGUUUUAAUGGUUCGAGAUUGGGGUGGAAACCAUUGAUGGAAUAAUCGAACAAUCAUGGAUGUCCAACUCAAGUGUUCCAUGUCAGUUGAAACAAGCUCAUUUAGCUCGUUUAUAGCUCAUCUUAGCUUAUUGAGCUCCAUAUUAUUUCUUUUUAGCUUGUGCAUCAAUUUGCUGGAAUAUCUAAUUUGAUUUAGCUCAAUUAUAGCUUUCUUUAGUUUAUGCAUUUAGUUGCUGGAAUAAACUUAAAUAAAAUUUAGUUUAAGUAUUAAAUGAGUCUCAGUAAUGUGUUUAGUUAUUUUAGUUUAAGUAAUUAAGUUGUUUUAAUUUUACUUAGUUGUUUAAAUAAUUUCGGCAAUUAAUAUGUUCCAUCUUAAUUAAUUUGCUACAGCCAUUUAAUUUGUUUAAUUGUUUUUAUAGGUGAAUUAAUCAUUUGAACUAGCUGUUACAUGGAUGGGCAUUUAAAGAGAGGAAUAAAUUCAGCUAUUAUGGAGAUGAGUUAAAGGCCAACAGCUGUUAUGAGCUUUUCCAAGUAAAUGUUUAAAGAGUUUAAUGGACAAUGAGUUAUUCAUAUAAGUCAUUCAAUUUCCAAACAUUUUUCACAAGAUACGUCCAUUUACACCUUUGGUUGGUUAUAUUUAAGCAUUUACACAAAGAAGGUUGUUCAUGUGCCAAAUGACAUUCAUUUUUGGCAGUUUUCCAUUCGGUUGCCCAAGGGGAAAUUAAAAGGUUGUUAUCAAGCAUUGAACCAAAUUUAUUCAGCUCAUUAGAGCUAAUUACUAGCUGAUUGGGAAGAUUAAACAUGUUGUCCAUUGCCGUUACAUACGUUUAGAGUUCAUCAAAGGUCUUGUAGUUUUAAUUAGCUUAAUUAAGUUCAUCAAAAGCUUAAUUAAGUUGAAUAUUUGUGUCCAUUCGGCUGGGGUUUGUCUCAUGCCUAUAAAUACUUUGUUUCCAGCUAAUUGUAGGAACUUUUUGCUAAAUUUAUGAAAUAUUUAAAAUUUGUGAGAGUUCAAAUCUCCUUGUUCUUUUUGGGACUAAUCUGAAUUAUCAAGCUAGGCUUGUGGCAUUUUAUCCUUCCUUUCUUUUCUGAACUUAUCACUUCAAGUGUGGCGUUCGUUAUACCUUUGGUUCCUAUCUCGUUAGAUAGCGGGUCAAGGUUUAUUUACUGUUUUCAUCGAUUGUUAUCCAUCUAAGUGCUUGUAAGACUUGGGUCAACAAUCUUUCAUAUUGUUGGUUCGGCCUUUACCUUAGCUAAACCUAUCCAUUCCUUCCCUAAACAUUCUUUGAACUUUUGUUUGAGCCUAUCUUCUACCCGUUUUUAGCCUUUCUUGAAACGAAGCACAAUUUACUCAAUUUCUCGAUUGGGCACACACAUAUGACUCGAAACUACAUCAACCGAGUUCAUAUCACCAUGAGCGUGGUGGGAGUCAAAAAGGGGCUCGAACUAAGCCAUCUUCGAUGGGCAAUAUGCCCAAUAUGGAUUUGAGCGAGACUAUGGGUACGCCUAAUGCUGAGACAUGGUUUCAGACUCAGACGAUUGAGGAUGAUGCAUUAUCCCAAGCCAUGUUAAGAGUUCUUGAGUAGGUCGUUGGGACCCAUUCUGGAUCCGAGAGCCAAGGUUCAGUAACUGAAUGACUCCGGUCCAAUGGAGCAGAGUUAUUUAAGGGCGUCACUAUGGUCAUCUUGAUUGUGGCCGAGUACUGAUUUGGUGGCUACAGAGAGGAUUAUGAACGACUUAAACUGCACUCCUAAGUAGAAACUAAAGUGUACAGUGUCUUUGGUUCGCGAUGAAGCUUAUCAGUGGUGGCUGACAGUUGAGGAGGGUACUUAGCCCGAGGGAAUAACUUGGGACUAUUUUUGAAACACCUUCUAGAACAAGUACAUAGGGGUGAAUUAUGUAGAGGCCCGUAGUAACAAGUUUAUGGGGAAAACUUAGGGAGAUAGGACUAUGGUCAAGUAUGAGGUCGAAUUCUUGAGGCUAAAUAGGUAUGCUUGUAGGUUGGUAGCUACUAACUGUUAUAAGAGCAUCCAAUUUGAGGAGGGGUUGAGAUACAAUAUAAAGGUAUUAGUGGCUCCACAAAGGGAACGAGUCUUCAAAACUUUGGUGGAGAAUGUUAAGAUUACCGAGGAUAUUAAACACGCAGAGCAUCAAAAUAAAAAGUAAUAAAUGAGUGAAAAUGAAAAUAAGAGGGAUUUGGCUCCUUCUAACUCUAUUCGGCGGCUUAAGAAACGGGCUAGGUUUGAUAAGUCUCCGCAGAUUGAAGCACCGAUUGCUACUUCUGAGAUUCGGUUUUGUGGGGGUUAUGGUAGCCACUAUCCGAGUGAGUGUUUAAGGAGACUGGGAACUUGUCUACGAUGCAAGUCUAUGGAGCACAGCAUUAGGGAUUUCUCGCUCUAUUCUAAUCAGGUUCAAGCUCUAGAUCCUAGUUUUGUUCAGCUUCAUAGGGAAAUUCAAUAGCCACCUAGUGGUCGUGGUCCGACCAAAAGUGGUAAUGGUAAAGGUAGAGGUCAGAGGUCACCAAGCAGAAGUGUUAAUCAGACUGAGGCUAAGCAGCCUGUUUUAGUAUAUGCGGCGAGGCACCGUGAGGAUAGGGGCGCCGCUAACGUUAUAAACGGUGCAUUUUAUAUUAAUUUUGUUCCAUAUUUUUCACUGAUAGAUAUUGACUCAAAUCACUCAUAUACAGCGAGUACUAUUUCUGUAAAUCUGGCAAUUCCAAUUGAGAGUACUUCCGGUGAGGUUUCUGUAAUUAGUCCAUUGGUUCAGACGGCACAUGUUAAUAAGAUUUAUAGAAGGUGUCCGCUGGAGAUACAAGGUGUUGUGUUUCCAACUAAUUUGAUGGAGUUACCAUUCAGGGAGUUUUAUUUGAUAUUGAGAAUGAACUGGCUCAUUUAGCAUUGAGUGAGCUUAGAUUGUGCUACUAAGAGGGUAACUCUGAGAUCUGAGUAUGAUAUGGAGAUUAUCAUGAUCAGUGAGUGUUGAGAUUAUCUCUCCAAUGUGAUCUUCGCUCUAAUAGUCGAAAAAUUAGUUCGAAAAGGGUGUGAGGCAUUUCUGGCUUAUGUGCAUGACUCGAGUUCCGUGGAGUUUAGAUAAGAAAGAAAUUUAAAUAAAACAAUUAUUCUAUUAUAAAAACAUGCCACAUUUUUUAUAUACUCAUGAUGAAAUUUUUGGAUCAAAUUUAAAUAAAAACAUGCCUCAAUCUUUAAGAAAAUUUUUGGACCAAAUUUUGUAUCCCAACAAAUUUAAGAGUGAUAAACUGAAAAUAUGAAAAUCCAUCAUGAUUUUGAUAGGACCUGAUCCCCACAACUUUUGUCUUUGUUUCCUUCUUUUUAAUUUUUAUGUUAUUCCAACUUUAAUUUUAUGGAAAUUAUCCCCAAAUAUUAACUUGCAACCUCAAAAAAUCUAACCAAUGAGUGGUUUUAUUUUUGUGAGCUAAGAUUGAGGUUUUAAGAGUAUCAAAGUUAAAAGUUUAAAUAUCAUACGGAAAUUAUAUGUGAAUUUUUUUAAAAAAGAUAUUUUUAUCAAUUAAUUUAAUUGUUAAAUUAUUUAUUUUAUUUAAUAUUUAUAAUAAUUAUUUCUAAUUAAAAUUGUGGAUUUGAUUAUAACUUUUAAAAAUAAAAUCUUGAGUUUACUAACUUGUGGAUUACAUUUAUAUUCAUUUCUUUUUCUUUUUAAUGAAAACUUUCAUUCAUUUCUUAGUCAAAAGCCAAUUUCUCAUCUUAUGAUGAGCCCUUAGAAGGUUGAAAAGGCAAAUGAUAUUUAUAUAAAAUUUUUGGAUUAGAAUUAUGAUUUAAUCAUAUUAAUUUAAUUAAGUAAUAAUUAUAAAAUUAUUUUUUAUGAAGAGUCAAAUAAUCAAUGAGUAUUUAUAUCUUUUAAUAAUCUUAUAUAAUAUUUAAAAUGAAAUUUGAGUUUUAAAAAACUAUCAUAUUUUUAUAAUAAAAAUUAUAUUUAAAAAUAAUUAUCCACCAAUCAUAAAAACAUAACUUCCACUCAAAAAGAGUCAAAAAAUAAAACUUAUGUAUCAUUUUUGGGAAUAAAUUAUAUUAGAAUAUCUUAAAAAGUAUUGUUUUUAGGUACCAAUAAAAUAGUGUCACAUCAUUAAAUUUUAAACAUAACAAAGUAUUAUUAUACACUCAUCUAUAUUUAAUAUUUUCUCCAACUUAAUUUAAUUUUAAUUUAAUUAAUUAAAAUAAUAAAAUUUUUAAAUUAUAAACAAACAUAUUUUCUUCUUUUACAAAUUUGAAUCAUUUUGUCUUUUUCCCAUAAUUUUUUUUUUUGUGCAACCAAUUUUUAAAAAUAAUGUGUUGGGAAAGGUCCAUAAAAUAAUUUCUCUAUUGAUGAGUGUAUAAUAAUAAUUUCAUAUCUUUAAAAUUUGAUGAUGUGAUAAAAUUUUAUUGCUGCCUAAAAACCUUGAUUUUUAGGAUAAUCCUAAUGUAAGUUAUUCCCUAAUUUUUUUAGUAUUCUUCAUAUCUAUUUUAUAAUUCAUAUUCAGAGGUUUGUAAUGACCUCUCAAUAAUGUGUCUUACCAUUACAUUCAAUACUAAUUAGUGUAUAUACAUUAUUUUAACCCUCAUUGAGGUGUGACAAUUUUUUCAUAAUUUUUAUUAUUAUUUUCAAGUAGGUGCCUUAAAUUCUAUUAUUAAAAAAAAUACGCCUAAUAAAUAUAAAACUAACAUAAUAUCUUCAAUUAACAUGUUGUAAAUUCAUUAAAAUGCAACCAAAUAAAGUAAUACCUUAUAAAUUAAUAAGUACAAAAUAUUAUUUAACUCAUCAACUUACAGUUCGAUUACUUCUAUAUUUCAAUAUAGAUUACUCUCCCACUAAACUUUUUCCCCUUAAAAAUUUAGUUGCAAACUAAUAAACAAUUCAAUUUACUUAGACAAAAGUAGCCACUAAAUAAAUCUUCAAUAAAAAGUAUAUUGGCAAAGGUUUUCUCGACGUCAAAUAUUUUGAAGAUUAAUUAUUUUUUAUUUAUAGGAGCUUCGAUCACGUUUAAAUUUUGGAUACAAUCUUUACUUGGCUUAGUUCUUGCAUGUUAUGUCUUCAAUAAUAGGUUGCUAAAAAUCCUCAAAGAUAAACAAUUAAAAGUUUGAACAAAUAAGGCAAUUUAUAAUUGUUUGCUAGAUGUUCUUUUAAGUUAUAACUAGUGUUGCAUCCAACAGUUAUAACUGGCAUUAACUCAUAACAUAAUUAAUACAUUUAUAAUUUAUUGUUUGGGUCAAUAUUUAAUAUAUUGUUGAUGAAAAUUUUUAAUUUCAUUUCACCAAAAAAAAUUAAAAAUUAAUUUAAAAAGGGUUUAAUAACUAUCACAUGUCUUUCUUUUUAAUACAUCCUUAAAAAAUAUAUAUAUAUCAUUUUAUGAACCUUACUUAUAAAGUCUAAAUAUUUCACCAACAAUAUAUUUAAAAAAAAUUCUAAUUACAAUUAUAUUUAAAAUUUUGGUUGUACUUAUAUUUAUGGUAACAACUAGGAUAAAAACUUUAAUAAUAGAAAACAAUGAGAAUGAAAAUAUUUCCAACCUUUUGAUCAAAGCCAUAAAUUUAUAUGUAAAUCAUCAAAAUAAAAUAAACAAAAAAAUCAACAGCCAACUUUUGUUUUUCUGUACUAUUAACUAUUUCAAUACUUCUAUUUUGAUUUAGCCUUAUCUCGGUUAGAGUAUAUAUCUAUAUAAAUUUAAAGCUUUCUUCGGAAUUUUAAGAGAAUUUAAAUAAAAAUAUUAGUUUCGAAAAAUAAGUUUAGACAAAAAAAUAAAACUCGUUUAAAAUAUGAGUUAGACAAAUAUUUGAACAUUUGAGGUUCGAGCCUAGUCCGACUCAUUUGUUAAGUUUGUAAUAAAUAUUGUGUUAUUUUUUAUAUUAUGUAAUUUAUAAUCCAUAAAAUUUAAAUCUAUACAUUACUACAAUGGAAAUAUUAAAAAGUGUUUAGAUGAAUAUAUAUAUAAUUUUAAUAAAUAAAAAUAUAUAAAAUUAAUAAUAUUCAAUUGAGAAUAAUAUAUUAAAAUUAAUAUAAACGAGUUUAAAAUGAAUUUGAGUUACCUAUUUAUAAAUAUGUGCAGACUCGGAUAGAAAAUUCAUGUUUUGAGUUGAGCUAAACUCAUGCAAAAAUAAAGUGUAUUAAUAUCAUACUUAAACUCGAUUCGGUCAAUAAAAACUUCUAAUUAAUAUUAUUAUUAUAAUAAUCAGAAGAACAUAAUGAUAUAAGUUGUUGGAUUCAUUUCCUAAAGGAAAAAUAUUGGAAGAGGGAAGCAAAUAGUAAAAUCCCAGCAACGAAAACAAGGGCACGUUCAAAAUUUGGUGCUUCAAAAGGAUCAAACACUUGAUAUUUUCAUCUCAAAGUUUGUUCAAUUUCCCACCUGUUUGGAAAGCUUUGGAUUGAUCCCUGAGGUUUGGAAAGGCUCAAAGAACUUGCUUACAAUCUUUUGCAGCUUUCGCGUAACCCCAUAUGUGGAAAGGACAAAGUAAAGACGAAAUACAUGAUUGGAGUUCUUUUAACUCCGAUAUUAACCUCCCAACUCCAUUUCCCUUUUCUUCAACAACUCCAUGGAACUCUGUAAGCAUUGAGAAGGUGGUGUUUCCUUCAAAACAAUAGCUUCUAAGAUGCAGGUAAACAAUUUACAAGCAUAUUUAUCAUGUUUCAAAAGCUUUCAUAAUAAUAUAGACACAUAUUUCGGUACGAGUAUGGAUCAUGAAAACUUUUCCUCAAAAAAACAAAGAAAAAGAAAAAAACAUGGCCUGAGCUUUCCUUUCAUAAAAAAUUACAAAGAUGAUUAAUAUAUACAAAGUACUUAAAUUUGAAAAUUAAUACCUACUUACUAGAACUAUUCAUUGAACGAGCUACCAGGCUCAAAGGCUCGCUUAAAAUUUGGGAGAAUUUAGGCAAAAAUAUUAGGCUCGAAAAAUUAGUUUGGACAAAAAAAAUUAGGUCUAUUUAAAAUAUGGGUCGAUCUCGAGCUUGAACAUUCAAAGCCCGAGCCUAACCCAAUCCGUUUUUAAGUUUAGAAUACUUUAUAUUAUGUAAUUUACAACACAUUAAAAAAAUUUAUAUUAAAUAUAUAAUAAUACUCUAAUGUAAACAUUAAAAUAAUGUUAAGAUCACUGUAUAAAAAAAUUCAAUAAAUAAAAUAAUAUAUAAAUUUAUUAAAUAUUAAAAUUAUAUAAUAUAAAUAUUUAAAGAAAUUAAAAAACAAUAUGGGUGGGCCUAAAAUGAGUUUUGAUUAGUCUUUUACAAAUAUGGCAAGUUUGGGUAAAAUUUUAUAUUCAUAUUUUGAGUCAAACCGGGCUUGGACAAGUAUAAAAUAUGUUAAUAUUAUGCUUAGAUCUAAUGUGACCCAUGAGCACCUCCAUUACUUGCUACCUGGAUUUUUGUUUUGGACUUAAUUAAUAUCUAAAUUUGAAACCAUAAUAUGAUUAUAUGAAGCAGCUUUAAAUUUUGUCACAUGAUAAAAAAGAUAAAAAUAUAUAUAUAACUUUUUAUAAAAUUUAAAUAUUUUUAUUUUUACCACGUACGUGUAACCAUAUUAAUACUCGUGAGUGCAGCAUAUAUAUAUAUAUAUAUAUAUUUUAACGAUGCAUGUUAAACCUUCCAAGACAUCCACUUCUUUUUUUUUUGAAUUUUUAUAAUUUAUUAUUAUUAUGAGGUGAUAUUGACAAUUUUGGUUUCAAAAUAGCUUUUUUUUAACAUGUGGCAAGCAUUUAUUGGAUGCUUAUUAUCACAUUAAUUUUUAAAGGGAAAAUUAAUGAGGUGCCAAUUUAAUAGAUCAAAUGAAAGCACAGAUAUGAAAUUGAUAAAUGAAUUCUCUAAAUACCUAAAUAAUAAUUUACCUACAAAUUAGAUAUUAAUUAUUCAAAAGAAAAUUUGAAUUGUUCUUCUGUUUGAUCUCCUGUAGUUGUUGCCUACACUUCAAUGUCUCAAUCUAAUAGAAAUGGCUGCCCCCACUCCCUGGCCCUUCAUCCAAACGUGCCACGAUAUCCCAAUUUUUUUACUAUUUCCCAGCAUUCUUGCCCGUUAAUGCCUAGGUUUUUAAUUUUUUUUUAAAAGUAAAUUUAUUAAUUUAUUUAAUUAAUGGAAUCAUACAAUUUAAGGAAAAAUAAUAAUAAACACUUAUCGCAGAUGGUGAAAGACAAACUCUAUCAAACAACAAAAGCUUUAGUCUUAGCAUCAAUGACACGUCAAUAAUGGACUAUUACAACUCAAACACGACAUAUAUGGAGUAAUUGCAAGUACUUAAUACGAUAAGAAAAUCAACUCUGGAUGGUCCAAAAGCGACGAGCAAAAAUCGACAAAAGAAUUAAGCAUUCACCAAACUAGAGAGGACGAUAACAAAAUCAUCCUUAAAAUCAUUUGUAAAACUAAGGCUACAUGCAUAAACAAGACUAAAAACGUGCUACAAGAAUAGACAAAAACUUCUAAAACUAAAAAGUUAUUAAAUAAACAAAAAAAUAUAAAACUUAAGACAACAUAGGUCCAAAUCGUCUAUCCAUUUUCCAAGAAAAAUUACUGGUGGGUGGUGGAGUUUUAGCAAGCAACAGGCGAUGUCGUCUAUCCAUCACAACUUGUGAAGGCAAAAAGAUACCCACAAAAUAGAUCUUCAAACUGAAAAAAAAAGAAGACACGUGGAGUGAAUUAGAAGCAGAAAGAAAGAAAAGGUUGGUGGGAGUGAGAAAAAGAUGAGAGAUAGCUAACCCGAAGGCUGGUACUGCUACGGGGCAAAACAAAAGAUAAGAAGUAAACAACUUGGAAAAAAAACAAUUUUUUAGGUUUUAAAUUUAAUUUUUAUUUCUUUAUUUAAUGAAAAAUAAUUUUAAGUUUUAUUAGAUAUUAUUUUUUAAUUUCAAAGAUAAAUUUUUUAUUAAGAUUUAGAAUCAAAUGAAGAUUUUAAAUUGAUUCAAUGAGUAAUAUGAAUCAUUAAAAGUAAAAAAGAAAAUUAAUUUUUAAUGAAUCAAUUACAUAUACUAAAAUCGAUUCGCAAGUAAAUGUGCUAAUCAAUCAAUUAAACCUAUUAUUUAAAAAUAGGUUUAAACAAAAAUUGAUAUUUAAAUUAUAUUAAUUUUUCUAUCUUAUUACCUCAAUUUUUUUAAUAGAAAUGAUACCUAAAUUAUAUUUUCAUUAUUUAAAUAACUCCUAUUAUUAGGUCUAUUAAAAAACAAUUAAUUAAAAUUUGGCACAGGGCACAAAAAGAUACAUAAGUAUUAUUAUGUAUUUAUUUAUGUAUGAUAUACAUUGUUAGUGGAGUAAAAAAAACAUUAUAAGCGGGUUUAGGUUGAUAUCAUUUGUUAUCAGGGUAUAAAAAAUAAAAUUUAAAUAAUUAAAAAAAGGAUACUUGAUAUCAUCUUAGAUUCACUUGUGGAGUAUUUUUACUCCACUCAUAGUGGAUAGAGUAAUUAUCAUGUCAUACCCCAAAAUAUAGGGGUAUAAUUGAAAUAAUUAACUAAGAAAUGAAGUAUGCUUGAUGGUUAAAUAGUUAAGUGCCCUCCCUAGAGGUCUUAGGUUUAAGCUACCCCUCACCCAUUUCUUUUACUUUUAUUUUCAACAACCUAGGAUAAAAACCACAUUAAAAUAAUAUAUUAUUAGGAGUAAUAUAAUUAAACAAAAAAUAGGCCUUAACCCUAACGGUUAAGAGCUUUCUUCCCCCUAAAUAAUCUAGAUUCGAUCCACAUUCUUCCCCUUCCAUCUUUUUUCAAUCUGGUCAAUUUUGGGUAUAUUGCCUAAGUCGCCCCCUAGGGUUCCCAAACCCUAGGUAUUUAGUUUAACUUUUCCCAAUUGAACUUAGAUUUUGUUUUCUCUUCAAUUCCAAUUAGAAUUUUCUUUCCUCUCACUAUUUUUUUCCCUCUUUCUUUUCUUCCCUCUCAUUUAAAUUAUAUUUUUCACCUUUUUGCUAUUGAAUAUUUUCUUCCUCGUAUCGAAUCAACCUCAUUUCUUGAUUUCUUAGCAGUAUCAUCAAAUAACAUCCUUAAUAUUUUCCAAGAAUUAGUAAGUACAUCUUAAUCCCAAUGAUUAACCUCAAAUUAUUAUAGAAUUUCUGUCCAACACUAAUCUCGCGACUGAUUAAAUGAUCUCUUAUGAUUCUUGCCAAAAUCUUUCGUAAAUUUUGUUAAAUCUUGAUACCACUAUUAGUUCAUGUGAAUUUGUUAUUGAAGGAUCAAAUUUAAGUGCGUCAGACCAAAAUCGAGCGUAAGGAACUUCAAUUGCACUUCCGGUGAAAGGUGUAUGUCUUUUCCCAAGUGAAUUGGUGGUGAUUGUGUGUAGAAUUAGGGCCAUAGUCUCCUACACAGGCGUGUGAACUACACGACCAUGUACCUCUGAAACCCUAGGCUAGUUCAUGAACCACACAGCCACAACUUGGCACACGGCUGUAUAUCCCCUAUAAGUUAAUUUUUACAUUUGUUACAUGACUACAAUCUGUUACAUGGGCUAACCACACAAUCAUGUAUUGUAACAGCCAAUUUUUGAUAAAAACAAAACAGUGGUUUCGGGACUACAAAUCCGAGUCCAGAAAGAAAAUUUAUUUUAAUACUAUUUUAUGAUCUACAGUAUGAUAAUAAUAUUGUGUGAAAUUUUCAUAAAGAAACUUUAUUGAUUAGAAGUUUAAUUUGAUAAAUGACCAAAUUGCACAAAGUGCAAAAGUUGAGUUUUAUUAGCUAAAAGGAUUAAAUAUCCAUAGAAAUUUAAAUUGGAGGUCUUUAUAUGGUAAUUAGACCAUUAAUAAAAAGUUAGUAGAUAUUUUUGGAUGAUUCAUCCAUGGAAAAUUAGAAAAAGGCUAAGGACUAAAUUGAAAAUCAAAAUAAUUAAAGAUGAUAAAUUAAUUAAAUAACAAAAUGUUAUCAUUUAUCAUCAUCUUCCCCAAAUAUUUUGUAUGGAAACCCUAGGAAAGAGAAAGAAAUCUUUCUUGGCCAAAUUAGGUAAGUAUUUAAGCCUGUUUUUAGUAAUUUUUAUAUUUUUGAGAUCGGGAUAAUCUAAUCUAGCUAUUUUGGGGAUCAAUUUCUAAAUUUAUCAAAGUAUGAAAAUUUUUCCAUGGAUGAAUAUGCUGAAAUUUUGAUAUUUAUGGUAGAAUUUAAAAGGUUUUUGAUAGAUAAACAACUUUUACAAAGUGAAUUUUGAUGAAAACAUAAUUUAGGGACUAAAUUGAAAAGUUAUAAAAUUCAUGAAAAAAAUUCUAAAUUUUAUGAAAUACAUGGGCUAUAAAUGUUACAUGUAAAAAUUGGUUGGGCUUGGAACAAGGAUUAAAUUGCAUGAAUUUCAUAUUUUGAGCUUAGGGAUAAAAUAGUCAUUAAUUAAAAAUUUAGGGGCAAAAUGGUAUUUUUUUCCUAAGAUGUGAAUUGAAUUGAAUUGAGUUUAAAUUUUAUUAAAUUUAUGUUAAAUUUACUCAUAUAGAUCUAGAUAUACUAAAUUUGUAGUUAGAACGAAGAAAAGAGAAAAAUGUCGGAUUAUUAGAUUUUAGGUACACAAACGUUUGUCGAGGUAAGUUCGUGUAACUAAAAUUGUGUAUAUUUACAUGCUUGAAUUAAAUGUUGUGUAUGCGAAUUAUAUAAAUAUCACAUAUAUAUAUGACAUUGAAAACAUAUCCGACAAAGCCCAAUAAAUGAUAAAUGAUAAAAAUGUUACUUUUAUGCUUGAAAAGAAUGUGAAUGUGUUUAUUUGAAUUGUAUGAAUGUUAUAUAUGUAUGAAAUAAUCACCUGCCUAAUAAUGCCUGAAAAUUGUUAAAUCCCAUUUGAAUAAAUGAAAAUCGAUGGAUGCAUGAUUUCCCGUAAUGAAUAUAGUUCAUCAUAUGUUGCGGACAGGAUUUAGCUCGGACAAGUAAUCCUGAUAUAGCCCUCUCGAGCAUCUUGUUAUAUAGUUCCUGCGAGCAUAUUGAUCGGUAGUGGUUUAGCAUGUGUUGCGCACUACUGCAGCUCUUUGUGAGUGGCUUGAUAUGCAAUCAGUUGUGAUCCAGCAUAUAAUGCAGACACAAACGCAACUCUACAUAAGCAUCCUAAUAUAGGCUCUUAUGAGCUUCCUAACAUGGCUCGCUUGAGAUCCUUGUUACCUUAUCUGGUGCUUCCUGAUAGUAUCUCUUCGGAGAUAUCUGAUAAGCUCUAUGAGCUUCCUGAGUAAAACUCUUAUGAGUUUCUUGUUUAGCCCAGAUAAGUGUCAUGUUACAUGGUUCAUCUAAGCAUCCUUAUAUGUGGCUCGAAAGUGUGCUCCUUAGUUAUGUGCCCUAACGGGUACCUCUGAAUAUGAAUUGACGGAUCCUGAUUUGUACACUUCGAAUAUACUACCUGUGUAUCCAUCGAUAUUUCAGAUAAAUUUAACGGAAAAAAUCUUGACAUGAGAAGAUAUUAAUAAGAAAUAAGUUAUUACACUUAUCUCCUUGAAAUACAUGAAAAUGAUGAUACAUGAAAAUUGAUAUAUGGAAACAUGAGAUGGUGAUAUUUGUACAUGGAAUUUAUUUGAUGAAUAUGUUCAUCAUUGAUUAUAGAUUUGUACACCUUGAGUGUACUACUCGUGUGACAUUGAUAUUUCGAAUGAUAUGAGUAAAGUUCUGACAUGAAAUAAUCUGAACUUGAGAUGAAUUAUUAUGAAAAUAUACUUGUAAUAUAAAGAUAUGAUUUAUACAUGCUAAAUGAAUACGUGAUAUGGAAAGCAUAUGUGCCUGGAAAUCUGAUUGUUGUAGAGCUCAUAUAUGUUUCUUGAUGAUAUUGUGGAUUGUAUGACUAACAAGGGCAAUAAGGAUAUGUGUAGGGCUUGAGAUCAAAUUGAUUGAAUGUGCCUUACAUGUUUAUCUUGAAAUAGAUGAAUGGUAAGUUAAGUACCAUGUUAUAUGAGCUUACUAAGCAUUAUAUGCUUACUUAGUUUUAUUUCCCUAUUUUAUAGAAAAUCAGAAACUCGUUGGAUUGGAAGCUUGGCUGAGAUUACUCACACUAUCCAUCGGCCCAUUUUGGUACAUAUGGUAAAUCAGUUAUGGUUAUAAUGGCAUGUGUAGGUUAAUUGACCAUAUUGGCGUGUAAAUGGUUGAUUGUAAUUUAGCUAUUAGAAUGGCUAGUAAAGAUUUGUUGUGGUAAAAUUAUAAGGUUAUGGCAUAAUGAAUAUUCAUGUGUUCAGUGUGGUUGAUUAAAUUAUGUUAACAUGUAUGUUCACAAAAGGAUAAGAUUAAAAACAUGAAUGCAUGUAAUGAUGUACCAUAUUAGAUGUUGGAAUUAACUUGGAUGUAAUGCUUGA
rnacentral:lncRNA from 1 species